rnacentral:lncRNA from 1 species
AACACGUUCCUGUUUGUUUAUGAUGAUUGCUUGAAGUGUUCCAUCAUCAAAUUCUUCACUUCCUUCUGAUGCAGAAGGGGCGUUGAUGACUUUGCUAGGAUUUGGCCUAAUGCCUCUACCAUCAGUCAUUUUAGUUUUCAAAAUAGUGGGUGAAGACUUUGUAGCAGAGCUAGUGGCAGAUGCCACUGAGGAACUUGAUUUUGCAGGUUGAAACUUACUGAGUUGCUUCUGUUGUGGGGGUGAAUACUGUGGUGUUGUUGAAGAUUUUGCAACCGUUGCAGCCUUCGGAGGCAAUUGCUCUUUGGGCUAUGUAGUUGAAGCUUUGGGUUUCUUUGGCAAAGACAUCUUCUGAGGAAUUGUUGUAGCAGAGGCCUCAGCAGCUGAAGAUGUGGCAGCAGUGGCUGCAGCAGCAGAAUCCUCAUUGAAUUUGUUCACGGAUGCUUAUGCCUUCUUCUAUAACUUAGACAGAUAUUUGUCUUUCUCGUCUUGGUAAUCCUCAAUAGUUUCUACACUUGAGGGAUGAGCGACUUGUUGAUCACCCUGUGGAGGCCUUUUGCAACGUGGCUUGAGGGUCAAUUUUUUCGCAUAUUUUGGAAUCACAUAUCUGUACUCCUUCCACUCCUUAGCCCACCUGCACUCAAUCUUUUGAAGCCUUAUCUUGCGCUUACCCAUGGUCUCUUUACCAUGAAUUUCCUCAUCAGGAGUACAAUAAUCAGCAUAUAUGUCUUCAGGUAUUUCAAAUGAUGUAUUCUGUUCCAGCUUCUUUCCUCCUUUCUGCUUCCGAUCAUCCUCCAUUUUCUUCAACUGAGGCUUUUGUUGAGGAAUUGUAACACUUGUGUUUAGCUUUCCUGACUAAUUAACUUAUUUCAAAAAUUAGGACCAAUUAAAAAUUUUGUGAGUGCUUGUGAUGCUUGAAGUGACUAUUGCUUGUUUGCUUGCUUGUAUGCUUGUGUUGUUUCUCAAUAAUUCAUGUUACUCUCUAGACUCACCUCCUUAGUACAAAAUUCCUGCCUAAUGAUCAUGCCAUGUGUUUAGGACCAGAAAUUAUCUUUACCAAAUACUAUCUUUACCAAAAGGAAUUUCUUUUAAUUAAGCUUUCAAAACCCCUGAGAUGGGAUUUAUACCACAAGUCCUCAACUUAGGGAAGAUAUGUUGGAAAUAUGCCCUAGAGGCAAUGAUAAGUAGUUAUUAUUAUAUUUCCUGUUGAAAGAUAAUCGUUUAUUAUCCAUGCUACAAUUGUAUUGAAUGAAAACAUAGAUACAAGUGUGGAUACAUAGACACAACAAUGUCCCUAGCAAGCCUCUUGUUGGCUAGCCCGUUGACCAAGGAUAGUCAAGGUUUUCUGGCUAUAUGCAAAGUGUUGUUGCUUGAUAACUGGAUCACAUCAUUAGGAGAAUCAUGUGAUGGACUAGACCCAAACUAUGAAUGUAGCAUAUUGAUCGUGUCAUUUUAUUGCUAUAGUUUUCUGCGUGUCAAGUAUUUGUUCCUAUGACCAUGAGAUCAUAUAAUUCACCGGCACCGGAGGAAUACCUUGUGUGUAUCAAACAUCAGAACGUAACUGGGUUACUAUAAAGGUGCUCUAUAGGUAUCUCCGAAGGUGACCGUUGACUUAGUAUGGAUCAAGACUGGGAUUUGUCACUCUGUAUGACGGAGAGGUAUCUCGGGGCCCACUCGGUAAUACAACAUCACACACAAGCCUUGCAAGCAAUGUGACUAAUUGUAAGUCACGGGAUCUUGUAUUACGGAACGAGUAAAGAGACUUGCUGGUAACGAGAUUGAAAUAGGUAUGCGGAUACCGACAAUCGAAUCUCGGGCAAGUAACAUACCGAAGGACAAAGGGAAUGACAUAAGGGAUUAUAUGAAUCCUUGACACUAAGGUUCAACCGAUAAGAUGUUCGGAGAAUACGUAGGAUCCAAUAGGGGCAUCCAGGUCCCGCUAUUGGAUAUUGACCGAGGAAUACCUCGGGGCAUGUCUAUAUAGUUCUCGAACCCGUCGUGUCUGCACACUUAAGGUUCGUCGAUGUUUUAGUAUAGUUGAGUUAUAUGCGUGGUUACCGAAUGUUGUUCGGAGUCCCAGAUGAGACCACAGACGUCACGAGGGUUUCCAGAAUGGUCCGGAGACGAAGAUUGAUAUAUAUGAUGACUUCAUUUGGUUACCGGAAAGUUUUCGGGCAUUACCGGGAAUGUACCGGGAGUGACGAAUGGCUUCUGGAAGUUCACCGGGAGGGGGCAACCAUCCCAGAGGAAGCCCAAAGGAAUUAUGGGUGGCGCACUAGCCCUUAGUGGGCUGGUGGGACAGACCAAUAAGGCCUAUGCGCAAUAGAGAAAAAACCAAAGAAAGAAAAAAAGGUGGGAAGGAAGAGAAGGACUCCACUUUCCAAUCCUAGUUGGACUAGGAUUGGAGUAGGACUCCUCCUCCUCCUCUUGGGCGGCGCACCUUGGGGGCUUGGGCCUCAAGGCAAGUCCCUCCCCCUCCCUCCUAUAUAUACCGGUGAUUUAGGGCUGAUUUGAGACAACUUUGCGAGGUGCAACUCAGAUCUAGACACCAUAGUUUUACCUCUAGAUCGUAUUUUUGCGGAGCUCGGGCAGAGCCGUGCAGGAAUAGAUCCUUCACCACCAUCGGAGCACUGUCAUGCUGCUGGAGAACUCAUCUACUUCUCCGUCUUGCUUGCUGGAUCAAGAAGGCCGAGAUCAUCGUCGAGCUGAACGCAGAGGUGCCGUCCGUUCGGCACUAGAUCGGAGCGGAUCGUGGGACGGAUCGCGUGACGGUUCGUGGGACGGUUCGCGGGGUGGAUCGAGGGACGUGAGGAAGUUCCACUACAUCAACCGCGUUUCUUAACGCUUUCUGUUGUGCGAUCUACAAGGGUACGUAGAUCCAAAUCUCCUCUCGUAGAUGGACAUCACCAUGAUAGGUCUUUGUGCGCGUAGGAAUUUGUUUUGUUUCCCAUGCGACGUUCCCCAACAAGAUAUUCUUCUACAACUGUUUUAUUUAAAACCCAUUAUCAAAAUGACUUACCAAAACUACAAUAUUAUUGUUAUAAAGUUAAUUUACUAUUUCAUUUAAAUGCCUUCCUGUGAGGCCAGAAUUGGUCUCUUAUGAAGGAAAGUUAUUUUUGUUGCUUUCAAAAUAUUUGAGAAAAUUUAGAGAAACUCAGUGGAUAUAUAUAUUCCAUAUAUAUGAGUUUCAACACAUGGUCAUGAUGAAAAUAUUGGGCAAACCCCUUCAAAACCCUUCAUGCCUAUUUCAAGCUUUUGAAAUAUUUCUAUAGGAAAUAUUCUCCAUAAAUUCCUGUAAAAUUCCAGCAUGUCACCUAUGAUAUGUUCGAUGGUCUUGCCAAGUUUCAUGUCAAUCCAAGUUGAUUUGACUCCCCUAAUUAUUCUAAAACCCUAGUUGUACAGAUCCAAAUUUGAGCAACUCUUCAUUAUCAAGUAUCUCCAAUUGUGCUCAAAUUUUGUGGACAUGUUCUGAUACCCCAAUAAUGCACCCACACCAAGUGGUGCAUCAAGGAGAAUAGAAGAACUUGUCCCAAGCCCCUCAAAAUCCUAUCUCUUGAUUUCUGACUUUGGGAAACUUUACAUUAUAAAGUUUAUCCAAUUGACCCCAAACGUUUUGGGCAUGCCUUAAUGCUCAAAUAAUGCCCCCACAUCAAAUAUUGGAUUUGUGGGAAUUGAUUUGAAUAGGAUAGUAAGCAGAAAGCUAUUUCUGCCCAUUUCAUGGAUUUUCCAAGUCUACAUCGGAAACCUUCUCCACCAAAUCCCAAAUUUGGUGUCCAAGCUUAUUUUCAUCUAAUAUUUGAUCCUGUUAAGUUUCAUAUCCAUUGAAGUCCAUCUGGUUGCUCUGCCACUCAUCAAACAUCUCGUGUGCAUUAACUUUAUUGGCUACUUUGGCCCCUUCCACUUUAACCCUUGGGAUCAACUUUCUACCACAACUUAAUAUAGUUACAUUUUACCUCCAGUAACAUUUCCAUGGCCACUGGUCAAUUAUUGGAGAUAGGCUCCAUGCAACUACUUCUCUUUUUAACCUUUGGAUCACCAUUUUUACCCCUCUUGCCCCUCUUUUGCAUAACCCAAAGCCCCCACCUCUUUCCAGAGGGUACCUAGCAUCCCAAAGCAUUGUUUCAAACCAAGAGAUGGCAUGCUCAUAUGGAGAAAAUGAGCAGCACAUCUACAACAAAAUUUUUGGCUGAAAAGUAGCUUUGUACAACAAGUACUAGCUACCCUCCCUUGCUUGAGUUGAUACAUAGAUUCAAAAUCCCACAAUAAAUUCAUUUCGGCUCCGAAUCUGAUGACUCAAAUGUCCACAGUUUCCUAAAAUCAAGGGCUACCCAAAUAUGUGCCUUGCACAUUUUUGCAAGCAAACUUUAUGUGGUAUUUUUAUUUAAAUCCAAAUCUGGAUAUUUUAAACACCACCUUUGUAAAUUCCUAUAGGUUUCCAAUCAACUCCAAAUGGAGUGAUUCCAAAUUCCAUAGUCUUAAAAUAUCCUAUCCUAUUUUUGAAGCCUUGGUCAACAUUUUUGUAUGAAAUAUUUCUGUUGCAAUAAAUAAAUAGCUCCCUUUUGCUAUUUAUCCAAUAUUAGAAAAUCCAUAGGAUAUUUAUUUCAACUCCAAAUCUAGUGAAACAACUUCCUAAAUGUUUACAAAAUUGUUCUUUGUUAAAUGAUGCCACCACUCAUUUUUAUCAUGACAUUUUCUGUGGGCUUCAUAAAGGAUCCCCUAUUCCUCCUUUCAUCCAUUCAGAAAUCCCUGGUAAUCCAAACCUCCUAUAGCAAGCUUCAAGUAUUUUUAUUAUGACUAGAGAGGUCCAAGAAAAAUAUAACUUCUAUUUAUGUAGAACUUUUAUUUCCCCCUGUUGGGUGGCAUACCGUGGUUGUUUCCAACGAUAGUUGAUGGGUGGAUGGAGUACUCGGAGUUGGAGCGGAAGACCUCAAAGACCCCGAGGGCUUAUGUGAGCAAAGGCAAGCAGCCCUUUGACCAUGACUGAGCAUAUGUUGCAUUGCAUGUUAGAAUAGAAAAUAUUUUUGUUGCAUAUGAUCAUAAGUGCCGGUAAAUCAUUGAAGUGAUGUUACCGAUGGCUCCUCCGAAGCACAUGCAUAGAGCUUGAUCCUACCACCUAUGAGGGUCAUGCUAAUAUCAUGUUGACAAUUAAAGUUAGAGUAAUAUUAGCAUGAUCAUGUUGUUGGUACAAAUCAAAGAUUUAUAAAAACCCCGUCGGGUGCCACUAAUACCCGAGGGUGAUGAUGAGUUAGGUGGCCACUUUUGGUGAAGUGGUGCACCGGGUAUUUGUGUGAGUAUGGUUUCAGAAAUGCGAUUAGAUUUAUGAUGUGUCGAUCGUCCCAACCUUACAUGUACGACCACGUUACCCCUUACGGGAUGGAGCUGUGUUGAUUACUAUGGUUGGUGCUAGCAAAGAGACACAUUACUAGUGGCGGGAGUGAUGUGUGGUCACUCUCGUGAUGGGGUCGUGGCAGGUAGGGCUACUAUGCCGUUUUUACGUGUUCCAGGCACACCAUUGGUCCCCGUAUGGUUGAUACUGUCCGGAUUCGCUGUCACAAGCCUAGCUUCCAUUUAAUGUUUAGCAAUAAUGUGCUCAUGUUUUAUUCUUGCAUUAAAAAUGAAAAUAGAAAUCAAAGAAAAACCCUAGCACUUCUAUAUUCAACUCAAUUAAAAUCUUGUGAUAAAUCAAUGAACCCAAAAUGGCCUUCGUAAAAGCCCACCUUUUUUGAUAAAUAUUGGAAACAAUAUUUCACGGGAUUAACUUAAUUAAAAAUACUUUUGGCAUUUUAUUUUAAUCGUAAAAGCUACUCAAAUCACCCAAAUAUGUGAUUUUAAAUUUUUUCAGAAUAUCAUAAAAUGUUGAAAUAUUUAUGUGGGCUUGGAGAUAUUCCAAAUAACACCCUAGAGUUUUAUUCACUAUUUAUAGGAAUAUUUUGGAGCCAAAAUAAAAUAAAACAAAUGGCAGAAAUGAUUUAACAGAAAUCAGAAAUGAAAAAAAAAAUGGAAAAACUCUUACCUGUCGCUCACCUUGGCCCAGCCCAGCAUCUCCUGUCGUCUUCCUCCUCACCAGUGUGUAGCAGGAGGUGUCCGCCACUUCCUCCGGUACGGCCAUGCACCUCGGUGCGUGCCUGGACGCUCCAUCCCGCUAACCGAGAGGGGAUAACCCUCCCGAGCCCGUUCCAAUCCUCUCCCUCUGCCCAUUCGCUCUCCUGCUCCCCCUCCUCUCGGUCGCCAUUAGAGCCGAGCUCGAGCUCGAGCUAGCCGUCGUCUCCGGCCAUAGCAAGCCCCACCGAGUGUCUCAUCCUCUCCGCCUCGUCGAGUACGUCGUCCACUCCAACAGAAUCAAGCUCCCGAGCCCUGCAUCGCCCUAAUGUCGUCAUCUUCUUCCUUGGAUCUCCGGCAUUCGCCGUUGUCGUUCUCCCUCUCCAGGCCAUCCCCAACCCCGCUCUCGACGCCUCUGCAAUCCCCGUGAUCCCCGGAUGCUUUUCCCCUCUUUUCCCCGUCGAUCCCGAGCCCUAGCCCCGAUUCCACCGGAGCCCGAUGAGAUCCGCCGCGGGAGCUCGUUGUCGGUGAGCCUCCGGUGAUGGGUUGGUCCAUCUGAGACAUCCAAUAGCUUCAGCAAGCCGCAUAGGUGUUGUAGGAGACAAACCAGCUCUGUUUCUAUGACCUCGACGUUGCCCGAGCUCCGGCCACCGCUGAGCUCGUGGCCGGCGUCGACUCCGGCCAUUUCAACCCCCAAGACUUGCAAGAAUGAGCUCGCGGGCGAAGGGUCAUUCCUCUGGUGCCUUCCGCCGCUUGUUUGGUCGCCGAAGGAGCAUUUCCGAUGCCCUCCGCCGUCCCUGGAGCCACCGGUGGCUCAUCGCCGGUGGGUUUGACCCCAGCGCCGGUGGGUUGACUCCCCAGAGUCACUGACAAGUGGGGCCAGCCCCUGGUUAAUUAGGACUAACCUAAUCAGGAUUAAAGAAAAUAAUAAGUACUAAUCAGUCAUUGACAUGUGGGCCAGCCACUACUAAUUAGCUAUUUAACUUAAAGUUUAAAAAAAAACAGAGUCACCAACGACUGUGUCCCACUAGUAAGGUUUGACUUUGAUCGGCCAGAUUGACCUACUGAUGUCAUGUUGAUGCAGUAAUACUAUUUAUGUUUAAAAACAAUUCCAAAAUAAGUUCAAACUUUGUAAAUUCAUAGAAAAUUAAAUAUAACUCCAAAUUUGACAAAUAAUAUAUGUAAAAUGAUCAGAAAAAUUCAGUGAACACAAUGGUGCUACUUUCAUGCAUGACAAACAAAGUUAUGAAACAGCAUCAGGUCAAAUCAAUUAAAGGAAAUUAAUAAAUGUCCCACUUCAAAUAAUAUUUGAACUUGAAUUCAGAUCAGCAUCAAACCAAAGGUUUGAUAGCCACACUAGCUCAUGCUACAUUUCAUUUCAUGCCAUGUUCAUGCAACAUAUUGUUCCAUAUGAAUGUCAUUGCUUGUCGUUAUUAUUUCGGUAGGCUCUGCCCUUCCGGAUACGUCCGAAUAUCCGACUGGCGGAUUUAAUACUUCUGCUGAGCAACAAGGCAAGCACCCUUUUGAUCAUCCCGAUAUAAUCCCAUGUUCACGCUCCUGCUCUCACUUAUUGCAUUAGGACAAAAUAUUUCAAAUGCUUUACUUUGGUAGCUGAACCUAUUCCUUUGCACGACCUGUCAUAGUCACAGUAAAUAGCCAAACCUUGCAACCUAGCAUACCUGGUAGUUGCUUGAGCCAUGAUGUGUCUUAUCCUGCUAUGCUUGUUAUGCCUAGAGUUGUGUCAGGUCUAUUUCAUCUGGGUGAUGAAUAGGAUGGAUGAAUGUGUUCUAGUGACAAAGAAUAAGUGUGGAACCUAAUUUGGUAAAGGUACCGAUGAAAGGCUAGUUACUACCACAUGCUCGGCCCUGAAAUAUGACCCCAAUCGACUUGUUAUCACCUAGUACUCGGUCCAGGAGUUGCAAGUAGUUUCUGGUGUUUCAAGUCAUGCUGGAGGCCAUGCAGGUGCUGACCUUAGAGGUGGGCUAUGAUGCGGUAGGCAGUGGCACGGUGUACCAAGUGGCACCCGGAUGGUGGGCUUGGGAACCCUGUGCACAUCGUUUGGGACCGUAGCAGAAACUUCGGCCGGACUUCCGUGCGGGUUCAGUCUCAAAUAGGCGUUCAACCUGGACUAGGUAUUAGCGUGGUUAACGGUCGUGGCCGACUCCCCCGCUGGGCUUCCGCUUGAAGGUUGCCGAGGUGCAUGACGUGCACAUGGCGAUAAGUGGCAACAACGUGUGUGAAGCAGUACACCCCUGCAGGGUUAUGAUCUAUUCGAAUAGCCGCGUCCGUGGAUAUGGACUACUUGGAGACAUAUGUUGUUCAUAGAUAACCUUAAUGGCUACUCAUAAAAGUAUCAAGAUAAGUGUGAGUAUCAUGUAUGGAAUUUCCGUAGGGAGACGGAAAGGAAUCCAUGAUAGUGUAUUGUUGUGGUGGUAGUGGACUUGUGUACGACUUAACAAAGUUGUUUAAAAACUAUUUAGAACUGUAGUAUAGUCUAGCCAAGAGUCAAAGCUGGCUUGCUGCAUGAAACCCCACAACCCCCUUUUGUUGAUACAUGUGCAUGAGUAGAUAGAUCUGUUCUAAAGUCUUGUUGAGUACCUUUGUACUCAUGUUUGCUUAAUAAAUGUUGCAGAAGAUAACCACGAGCCAACAGGUGGGUUCUAUCUAGACCUCGAUGAUGAUGAGUAGCUGGUGUCCCAGCUACGACCUGACCUCUUUCAGAAGGGAUCUGUGGAUAGUCAGGCUUUAUGCCUUUUCCUUUCAACUGUUUGUACUUAGACAGCUUUAAUGCUUCCUCUUGGUUUGUAUGACUUUGCUUGUAUGACUUGAGUGUCGGGUUGUGUGACCCCUACCUAUAUGAACUUAUUAUGUACGACUCUUCCGAGUCUUCUAAAUAAAUGUUGUGAUGUUGUAUGGUUAUUUUGUGAUGCCAUUGUUGUAUCUACGCAUAUCAAGUAUGUCAUGCGUACAUGUGAUGCACUGUGAUAUGUAUGGGAUUCGACACCUAGUCAUAUGCCCUUAGUAGCUCUCUAUACAGAGAAAUGCCCCUUUAUGUUUCCACCGAGCCUUGGUAGUUUGCUACUGCCCUAGACAUAUUGGUUGAGCGGCAUGUAUCCUUCUUAGUUCUUGUGUCUGUCCCUACGGGGAAAUGUUACGCGGUGUAAUGGAGUCCUUGUAGCUUGCUACGACUCGUCUACACUCAUUGAUGACUGACACCUGCUUUGCUGGGUUAUGUAUGCCUGUCAUUGUACAGUUGGGCCACUUGAGUUUAUGACUAGUUAUGUCGACCCGGGUUCUUUGACAUUGGAAUGCGAAUGACACAAUUGCAUACGUGAGUCAAAAGGCGCAAACGGUCCCGGCUAAGGUAAGGUGGCAGCCGUGGGGUUAACCGUGCGUGAGACCACAAAGGGAUGCGAUGUGUUACAGACUGGAUUCCUAUGGCUUAGGAUCGGGAUCCCGAGAAUCGGUGCUCAUAAGACGUACAACAUGUGGGUUGGGUACCAAUCGAGUGGACCUCUUUGGCUAGUAUCAUCAGGGGAAAGGCAUUGAUCGGGUACUUACCUUGGGUAUGCUAUAUACCGUGAGUCGUGGAUGACACGGAAGUUUCCCAGAUCUCGUCGGUCCAGCAUACUACCUCUGCAGAGUGUAAAACUAUUCGAAUAGUCGUGUCCACGGUCAAGGACAGUUGGGUGGUGCUGCUUAAACUACGUCUAGUUGUUUCCGCAUAAACCAAGUGUGUGUGAGUUGUGAUAAAAAGGAGUUAUUAUGAAAGUAAUGAUAUGACCAAGUUUGGUGACUUGGCAUACAGGGUGAACCCGAAUGGUUCAGCCCUCAACAGAUAUUGAUAUAUGUAACCUGUUCUUCAAAAGUAAUUCUUUAACUUGAUGCAUAUUCAUGAUCAUUUACCACUAAGAUGAAUUCCACCAAAGAUGCAUGAUAUUGUUAUCCUUCACUUUCAUUGUUCAUAUCAUGGGCUAUUUGCGUGUACAUUCAAAAGUACUCAUUGGCUUGCCAUUAGAUAUAUUAUUGACCAGACAUGGAGGGACCGGAGUUUGGAGAUGAGUACGUCUUCGGAGACGCCCCUGUGAAAAAGGACGCUUCCCAGUCAGAAUGUGUGUCAGUGUAGGCUUGAUGGCAUGGGCACCCGCUUAGCCCUAUGAUUUCCGCUAUUAGUUGAUUCAGUAUGAUUUGGCCUUAGGCCCUAGCUUGUGAACUUGACCAUUCGGUCACGUGAUGUAAUAAUUCGGUACUUGGAUGUAAGACUCUUAUUAUUCAGUAUCUGUGUGUUCGGUGAGCAUUGAUCUUUGGGAUCACUGAGCAUGUUCAUUCGACGAUCUCGACUCGUAAGUCUGGGUCCCCACAAAAUCUGAACUCUUGAUGAUUCUGUUGAAACGGGUAAAGUUUCUUCGAGGAACUCUGCAAAUGUGUUAAGUUGAUGAGAACCUAGAGAUUCAUCAGCUAACAUUUUUGUACAUGUGAACAGAGUAUAGGUGCGAAGAAUUUGGGGAGGUCAUGUACAUUCUCAGCUUUUAAGAAUUUGAAAAUUUUAAAAGUUGUGGAAUUUGACGAGUGAGUUGAGGAAUUUUACUAACCAUUCUGAUCUUGGGUUCCACAGUUGUGCAGAUUCGAGAAUUUACACAAUUGAGGACUCUCAUGAACAAUUUUAGUGGCUUAGUGAAAUUCAUCAAGUGUUUGACGAAUGAGUGUGCAUGGCUGACAAACUCUCUCAGGAAAAACAUAUUUCGCUUGUCUAAAGUGAAUUAAAGGAUCAAAAUAGGCAGUAAAAUAGGAUUUUAUUUACCCUAUGCCAAGAACACGAAGAACUGGAGUAGUAAAAGGGAGAAGUUCCUCGGUUCAGAUAUUCAGCGCCCUAACUUGGCAACUGAAAUUAGCUACGGCGGCGGCGGAAGACAAUUUUUCGCGGUCGGCAUGAGUCCGGCAACGGCGAGGGCGAGGCAGCGAAGCUUUUCCUCACCGGCGACGAGGAUGCUAGCGGUGGCGCUAGGGUUGAGCUCGAGCGAAGAAGACGAGUUUGACUGAGGGCGGUAUGGGCCUACUUAUAGCUCAGGUGAAAAACUAUUAGGUCGAAACUUUCAGACCAAACUACCCUUUCCCCUUUGUCUCCGCAUGACACGUGGUGCCCAUGAAUGAAGCGGUGGAGUUUGUGAUUAUCCGAUCAUGAGAAGUGGGUCCGAUAACUGUGUAACGUUAUAAAAACAUUUUUGGUUUUUUUGAGGAUUUUGUUGCAAAGUACUAAGCUUACAAGGACACAUUGAGGAUUUUGAACAAGUGUCAAGUAGAACGCAUAUGAAGAAUUGAGAAUAGACUCGGUUGAGCUUAGCAUAGAGGGAAGUCGGGUCCGAUCACAUUCACUUAGAUGAAAUAUCAAAUUGAAGANNNNNNNNNNNNNNNNNNNNNNNNNNNNNNNNNNNNNNNNNNNNNNNNNNNNNNNNNNNNNNNNNNNNNNNNNNNNNNUGAGGAAUUUGUGACAAAGUGUCAUAUUGAUGAAUUUCAAAUUUGAAGAAAAACCACCUAGAAGGAUUUCAAAGUUGGGUGGUGGCGUGAUCCAUCGUAUAAGAAUGACAAUUUCAGGCGCCGCAUACAAUUGUCGUAGGGCCCUGAGAACCAAAUUCUUCAUUAAUUUCUUCACAAUAAGAGUGAUAUUCUUCAUUGAUUGAAGAAAAUCGAUUCUUCAUGUGUUGCGCAUCUAAGUCAUCAAUUUUGCAUAAGUGUUACGAUGUUGUACAUGUUUUCACAAAACAUUUGAAGACUCUAGGAUAUUUAGCACACACCGCAACUUGCAAAACCUUCUCUCAUCCAAGGGAUUUGUGAAGAUAUCAGCUAGUUGAUCAUCAGUCUUCACAUGGUCAAUGAUGCUAUUGCGCUUGAGGACAUGGUCACGAAGAAAGUGAUGACAAAUAUGGAUGUGCUUAGUCUAUGAGUGUUGUACUCGGUUCUAGGCGAUCUUGAUUGCACCCUCAUUGUCGCAGUAGAGGGGUGAUACGUCUCAAACGUAUCUACAAUGUUUGAUGGCUUCAUGCUGUUAUCUUGUCAACUUUGGAUGUUUUAUGUACCUUUUAUAUCUUUUUUGGGACUAACUUAUUAAUUCAGUGCCAAGUGCCAGUUCCUCUUUUUUCUGUGUUUUUGGCUCUUUUCGGAUCUCAUUUUGGAACGGAGACUAAACCGAAUAAAAUCCCCAAAAUAAUUUUUUCCAGAACAGAAGAAGAUCAGGGGACUUGAGGGCCAAGGCAGGAGAGCCACAGGGGGUCACAAGCCCUGUAGCCGCCACUAGGGGGCGGCGGCUACCAGGCUUGUGGCCUCCCUGGCGCCCCCCUCACCUAGCUCCUUCGCCUAUAUAUUCCCUAAAAUACAGAAAAAUAAGGGAAUCCACAAAAACACUUUUCCGCCGCCACAAGCUUCCGUUUCCGCGAGAUCUCAUCUGGAGACCCUUCCCGGUGCCCUGCCGGAGGGGACUUUGGAGUUGGAGGGCUUCUAUAUCAACAUCAUCGCCCCUCCAAGGACUCGUGAGUAGUUCACUUAAGACCUACGGGUCCGUAGUUAGUAUCUAGAUGGCUUCUUGUCUCUCUUGGAUCUUCAAUACAAAGUUCUCCAUGAUCUUCAUGGAGAUCUAUCCGAUGUAAUCCUCUUUGGUGGUGUGUUUGUCGAGAUCCGAUGAAUUGUGGAUUUGUGAUCAGAUUAUCUAUGAUUUAUAUUUGAGUCUUUGCUGAUUUCUUAUAUGCAUGAUUUGAUAUCCUUGUAAGUCUCUCCGAGUCUUGGGUUUUGUUUGGCCAACUAGAUCUAUGAUUCUUGCAAUGGGAGAAGUGCUUGGUUUUGGGUUCAUACCGUGUGGUGACCUUUCCCAGUGACAAAAGGGGCAGCAAGGCACGCAUCGUGUUGUUGCCAUCAAGGGUAACAAGAUGGGAUUUUAUCGUAGAUAUGAGAUUGUCCAUCUACAUCAUGCCCUCUUGCUUAAGGCGUUACUCUGUUCUCAUGAACUUAAUACACUAGAUGCGUACUGGAUAGUGGUCGACGUGUGGAGUAAUAGUAGUAGAUGCAUAAAGUAUCGGUCUACUUGUUUUGGACGUGAUGCCUAUAGAUAUAAUCAUUGCCUUAGAUAACGUCACAACUUUGCGCGGUUCUAUCAAUUGCUCGACAGUAAUUCGUUCACCCACCGUCUACUUGCUUUCAUGAGAGAAGCCACUAGUGAACACUACGGCCCCCGGGUCUAUUCACACCUAUCGCUUCCACUUUCGCUUUUACUUUGCUUUGUUUCUUUUUGCUUUAAGUUCUCAGUUGGCAAACAAUCUAUAAGGGAUUAACAACCCCUUCAUGGCUUUGGGUGCAAGCUCUUUGUGUUUGUGCAGGUACUUGUGACAAUCCUUCACUGGAUCGAUACCUUGGUUCUCAAAACGGAGGGAAAUACUUACCGCCACUGUGCUACAUGACCCUUUCCGCUUCGAGAGAACACCAACGCAAGGCUCCAAGGCCACGGGGGAAUCCUUUGCAUAUUUCCCAAGGAAGUCCCUAAAGGCGUAGCCGUAGCAGAAAGAUUCCUGGUGUCGUUGCUGAGGAGUAUCAAGACAAGAAUAGUCUCCCAUCAGCACGCUUGUUUCUAGCGCCGUUGGAAGGUCUUUUGUUGCAGUAGCAGAAGUAUUUCUAGCGCUGUUGUCGGGGAAUAAGAGAUCUAUCCAAGUAGGUCUCACAAACUCAUCUCUUGCAUUUACUUUUUUUGCCAGUUGCCUCUCGUUUUCCUCUCCCCCACUUCACAUUUGCCGUUUUCAUUUGCCUUUCUCCUUUGACGUUUUCUUUUGCCUUUUUCCUUUUUGCCUUUUUCCUUUGCCGGUUUUCUUGCUUGCUUGUGUGCUUGUUUGUUUGUUGAAGUCAUCAUGGCUGAAAACACCAAACUUUGCGACUUCUCGAGUACCAAUAAUAAUGAUUUUAUUAGUACUCCGAUUGCUCCCGCCACUAGUGCGGAAUCGUAUGAAAUCAACGCAGCUUUGCUGAAUCUUGUUAUGAAAGAGCAAUUCUCUGGCCUUCCUACUGAAGAUUCCGCAUCCCAUCUCAAUACCUUCAUUGAGCUUUGCGAUAUGCAAAAGAAAAGAGAUGUGGAUAAUGAUGUGAUUAAGUUGAAGCUUUUUCCUUUCUCGUUGCGAGAUCGCGCAAAAACUUGGUUUUCUUCUUUGCCUAAAAAUAGUAUCGAUUCUUGGGAUAAGUGCAAAGAUGCUUACAUAUCCAAGUAUUUUCCGCCGGCUAAGAUUAUCUCCUUACGUAACGAUAUCAUGAAUUUCAAGCAACUUGAUCAUGAACGCGUUGCACAAUCUUGGGAGAGGAUGAAGUUAAUGAUUAGAAAUUGUCCCGCUCAUGGCUUGAGUUUGUGGAUGAUUAUACAAAUCUUUUACGCUGGUUUGAAUUUUGCCUCUCGCAAUAUCUUGGACUCUGCCCCACGUGGAACGUUCAUGGAAAUCACGUUAGGAGACGCUACAAAACUCCUAGACAAUAUCAUGACCAACUACUCUCUGUGGCACACUGAAAGGUCACCUGCUAGCAAAAAGGUACACGCUAUAGCUGAAAUUAACUUGCUUAGUGGUAAGAUGGAUGAGUUGAUGAAUUUCGUUGCUAGUAAAAAUGCUCCUUUAGAUCCUAAUGACAUGCCACUAUCUUCCUUGAUUGAGAGUAGCAACGCUAGUUUGGACGUUAAUUUUGUUGGUAGGAACAAUUUUGGCAACAACAAUGCUUUUAGAGGAAACUAUGUUCCUAGGCCUUUUCCCAGUAACUCCUCUAACAAUUAUGGCAAUUCCUACAAAAACACUUAUGGAAAUCACAACAAAUUACCCUCUGAUUUAGAGAGUAAUAUCAAAGAGUUCAUCAACUCUCAAAAUAUUUUCAAUGCGUCCAUAGAAGAAAAACUACUCAAAAUUGACGAUUUGGCUAAGAGCGUUGAUAGGAUGUCUUUUGAUAUUGAUGCUUUGAAAGUUAGAUGUGCUCCUCCCAAGGUCAACUUGGAUGAAACUUUAAAAGCUAUGCAUGUGUCCAUGAAUGAGAGCAAAGAAAGAACCGCCCAAAUUCGCGCUAGGCAUGAAUGGUUUAAAACGGUGCGUUCUAGUGAUGUAAAUCACGAAGAUCUUAAAGUGCUUGGUGUGACACCUCUUGAAUCUUUGUUUUUGCGUGUCAAACCUAUUGAUGAAGGGGUUGGAUAUGAAUCCACUUUGGUUGAAAAACUCCCCAAUGAUUCGGAGUCCACCUAUCUUGAUGAUAAAGGUGUGGAGAGUGGAGUAGAAGAAAUCAAAAUUUUGGGUAGUUAUGAAACUCCCACUUUGGAUUUCAAGGAAUUCAAUUAUCAUAGUUGCUCCUUGUUUGAAUGCAUUUCUUUGAUGCAAUCCAUUGCAAACUCUCCACAUGCUUAUAGCCAAAGCAAAGCCUUUACCGCGCAUAUCGUAGAUGCUAUGAUGAAAUCUCUUGAAGAGAAGCUCGAACUAGAAGUCUCUAUACCUAGAAAACUUCAUGAUGAGUGGGAACCUACUAUCAAAAUCAAGAUAAAAAAUUAUGAGUGCAAUGCUUUGUGUGAUUUGGGUGCUAGUGUUUCCGCGAUUCCAAAGUCUUUAUGUGAUAUUCUUGGUUUUCAUGAGAUUGAAGAGUGUUCUCUUAAUUUGCAUCUUGCGGAUUCUACUGUCAAGAAACCCAUGGGAAGGAUCGAUGAUGUUCUCAUUAUUGCAAAUAAGAACUAUGUACCCAUGGAUUUCAUUGUACUUGACAUAGAUUGCAAUCCUUCAUGUCCCAUUAUUCUUGGUAGACAUUUCCUAAGGACUAUUGGUGCUAUCAUCGAUAUGAAGGAAGGGAAUAUUAGAUUUCAAUUUCCUCUAAAGAAGGGCAUGGAGCACUUUCCUAGCAAGAAAAUAAGAUUGCCUUAUGAACCUAUGAUAAGGUCUACUUAUGGUUUGAGCACCAAAGAUGACUAUCCGUGAUUCCAUCACCUUUUGCCUACUAAGGGCGUUAAACAAUAGCGCUUGUUGGGAGGCAACCCAACGAAUCUAUCCUUUUUCUUUCUGUUUUGUGUUUUCCACACUUUCAUAAUUCUGUGAUGAUUGUGUUAUUUAUGUUUCUUUUUGCGUUUGUGCCAAGCAAAACCGUUAUGAUUAGUCUUGGGGAUGAUCGUUUGGUCAUGCUGGAAACGACAGAAACUUUCUGCUCACGAAAAGAAUUUUCUUUUUUUUAAGUAAGAGCUUUUGAGUAGAUUGUUUUUGUUGCUGAUUGCUACGGAAAUUCUUUAGACUGUCGUAAUUUUUAAGAAUUUUUGUAGUACCAGAAGUAUACGAAGUAUACAGAUUGCUACAGACUGGUCUGCUGUUAACAGAUUCUGUUUUUGUUGAGUUGGUUGCUUAUUUUGAUGAAACUAUGGAUAGUAUCGGGGGGUAUUAGCCAUGGAAGAUUGAAAAUACAGUAACCCAACAUCAACAUAAGUAGAAUUUAAGUUUGCUACAGUACCUAAGGAAGUGGUGGUUUGCUUUCUUAUACUAAUGAUAUCACGAGUUUCUGUUUAAGUUUCGUGUUGUGAAGUUUUCAAGUUUUGGGUGAUGUUCUUAUGGACAAAGAGAUAAAGAGUGGCAAGAGCUCAAGCAUGGGGAUGCCCAAGGCACCCCAAGAUGAUUCAAGGAUGCAGUAAAAGCCUAAGCUUGGGGAUGCCCCGGGAAGGCAUCCCCUCUUUCGUCUUCAAUCCAUCGGUAACGUUACUUGGGGCUAUAUUUUUAUUCACCACAUGUUAUGUGUUUUGCUUGGAGCAUCUUGUAUCGUAGGAGUCUUUUAUUUUUGUUGUGUCACAAUCAUCCUUGCUGCACACCUAGAGAGAGAGACAUGCACUCACCGUGAUUUUGUCGAGCUUCACUUAUAUCCUUUGGUAGACAAUUCAGCUCACAUGUGCUUCACUUAUAUCUUUUGGAGCUAGUUGAUUUUGCUCUAUGUGCUUCACUUAUAUCUUUUAGAGAAUGGUGGUGUGUGGCUUGGUAGUUGAUCUAUACUUUGAAAGUAGUCUCAAAAGGGGUAGUUAUCCAAAGGGAUAUGAAAACUUCCUCCUUCAUGUGCAUUGAAUAGUUAGAGACGUUUGCUUCAUCUCAAUUAGUUUUUAGUUGUGGUUGUGGUAAUAUUGAAGUUAUGCUAGUAAGGUGUUGUGGAUCUAGAAAUACUUGUGUUGAAGUAAGUGAUUCCCGUAGCAUGCACAUAUGGUGAACCGCUAUGUGAUGAAGUCUGAGCAUGAUUAGUCUAUUGAUUGUCAUCCUUUGUGUGGCGGUCGGGAUCGCGCGAUGGUUAAUACCUACCAACCCUUCCCCUAGGAGUAUGCGUUGAAUGCUUUGUUUCGAUUACUACUAAAACUUUUGCAACAAGUAUAUGAGUUCUUCAUGAUUAAUGUUGAGUCCAUGGUUUAGAUGCACUUUCACCUUCCACCAUCACUAUCUUCUUAGUGUCGUGCAACUUUCGCCGGUGCACAAAACCCACCAUUAGCCUCCCUCAAAACAGCCACCAUACCUACCUACUAUGGCUUUUUCAAAGUCAUCCCAAUAUAUAUUGCCAUACAACUACCACCAUGACAUGUGCCACCACGUCUACAUUGCCAAUGCAUGAUCGUAAGAUAGCUAGCAUGAUGUUACCAUUAAUGUCCAUGCCAUGCUAGAUCAUUGUCACGGUACGCUACCGAAGGCAUUCCAUAUAGAGUCAUCAUUGUUCUAAGUUUUGAGUUGUAAGUGUGAUGAUCAUCAUUGAUGGAUCAUUGUCCCAUGUGAGGAAAUAAAAGAGGCCAGCGAAGCCCAUAUACAAAAAUAGGCCAAAGAUGCCCACCAAAAUAAAUAAAAAACAAAAAAAGAGGCCAAAGAGCCCACCAAAAAAAGAGAGAAGGGACAAUGCUACUAUCCUUCCACACUUGUGCUUAUUAAGCACCAUGAUCUUCAUGAUUGAGAGUCUCUCGUUUUGUCACCACCAUAUAGCUAGUGGGAAAUUUUCAUUAUAUAACUUGGCUUGUAUAUUCCAAUGAUAGGCUUCCUCAAAUUUGCCUUAGGUCUUCCUGAGCAAGCAAGUUGGAUGCACACCCACUAGUUUUCUUUAAGAGCUUUCACAUACUCUUAGCUCUAGUGCAUCAUUUGUAUGUCAAUCCCUACUCAUUCACAUUGAUAUCUAUGAUGAGCAUCUCCACAGCUCAUUGAUAUGCCUAGUUAAUGUGACCAUCUUCUCCUUGUUUGUCUUGCAACCUCCACCACACUCCACACCACUUAUAGUGAUAAAACCAUGGCUCACGCUCAUGUAUUGCGUGAGAGUUGAAAAGGUUUGAGAAAGUAAAGGUGUGAAAACAAUUACUUGGCCAAUACCGGGGUUGUGCAUGAUUUAAAUUCGUUGUGCAAUGAUGAUAGAGCAUAGCCAGACUAUAUGCUUUUGUAGGGAUAACUUUUUUUUGGCCUUGUUAUUUUGAAAGUUCAUGAUUACCUUUCUAGUUUGCUUGAAGUAUUAUUGUUUCCACGUCAAUAGCAAACUAUUGUUCUGAAUCUAAUGGAUCUGAACAUUCACGUCACAUAAGAGGACUGACAAAGGACAUCUAUGCUAGAUAGCAUGAAAGCAUCAAAAAUUCAUUCUUUAUCACUUCCCUACUCGAGGACGAGCAGGAGUUAAGCUUGGGGAUGCUUGAUACGUCUCAAACGUAUCUAUAAUUUUUGAUGGUUUCAUGCUGUUAUCUUGUCAACUUUGGAUGUUUUAUGUACCUUUUAUAUCUUUUUUGGGACUAACUUAUUAAUUCAGUGCCAAGUGCGAGUUCCUGUUUUUUCUAUGUUUUUGACUCUUUUCAGAUCUGAUUUUGGAAUGGAGUCCAAACGGAAUAAAAUCCCCAAAAUUAAUUUUUCCAGAACCGAAGAAGAUCAGGGGACUUGAGGGCCAAGGCAGGAGAGCCACAGGUGGAUCAGAAGCCCUGUAGCCGCCACCAGGGGGCGGCGGCUACCAGGCUUGUGGCCUCCCUGGCGCCCCCUGACCUAGCUCCUUCGCCUAUAUAUUCCCUAAAAUACAGAAAAAAUAAGGGAAUCCACGAAAACACUUUUCCGCCGCCGCAAGCUUCCAUUUCCGCGAGAUCUCAUCCGGAGACCCUUCCCGGUGCCCUGCCGGAGGGGAGUUUGGACUUGGAGGGCUUCUAUAUCAACAUCAUCACCCCUCCAAUGACUCGUGAGUAGUUCACUUCAGACCUACGGGUCCGUAGUUGGUAUCUAGAUGGCUACUUCUCUCUCUUGGAUCUUCAAUACAAAGUUCUCCAUGAUCUUCAUGGAGAUCUAUCCGAUGUAAUCCUCUUUGGUGGUGUUUUUGUCGAGAUCCGAUGAAUUGUGGAUUUGUGAUCAGAUUAUCUAUGAUUUAUAUUUGAGUCUUUGCUGAUUUCUUAUAUGCAUGAUUUGAUAUCCUUGUAAGUCUCUCUUAAUCUUGGGUUUUGUUUCGCCAACUAGAACUAUGAUUCUUGCAAUGGGAGAAGUGCUUGGUUUUGGGUUCAUACCGUGUGGUGACCUUUCCCAGUGACAGAAGGGGCAGCUAGGCAUGCAUCGUGUUGUUUCCAUCAAGGGUAACAAGAUGGUCUUUUAUCGUAGAUAUGAGAUUGUCCAUCUACAUCAUGUCAUCUUGCUUAAGGCAUUAGUCUGUUCUCAUGAACUUAAUACACUAGAUGCAUGCUGGAUAGUAGUCGACGUGUGGAGUAAUACUAGUAGAUGCAGAAAGUAUCGAUCUACUUGUUUUGGACGUGAUGCCUAUAUAUAUAAUCAUUGCCUUAGAUAACGUCACAACUUUGCGCGGUUCUAUCAAUUGCUCGACAUUAAUUCCUUUACCAUCGUCUACUUGCUUUAAUGAGAGAAGCCACUAGUGAACACUACGGCCCCCGGGUCUAUUCACACCUAUCGUUUCCACUUUUGUUUUUACUUUCCUUUGUUUCUUUUUUUGCUUUCAGUUCUCAGUUGGAAAACAAUCUAUAAGGGAUUGACAACCCCUUCAUAGCGUUGGGUGCAAUCUCUUUGUGUUUGUGCAGGUACUUGUGACAAUCCUUCACUGGAUCGAUACCUUGGUUCUCAAAACUGAGGGAAAUACUUAGCGCUGUUGUGCUACAUCACCCUUUCCGCUUCGAGGGAACACCAACGCAAGGCUCCAAGGCCACGGGGGAAUCCUUUGCAUAUUUUCCAAGCAAGUCCCUAAAGGCGUAGCUGUAGCAGAAAGAUUCCUGGUGCCGUUGUUGAGGAGUAUCAAGACAAGAAUAGUCUCCCAUCAGCACGCUUUUUUCUUGCGCCGUUGGAAGGUCUUUUGUUGCAGUAGCAAGGGGCACAUUCUUUAUGUUGAUAUUGAAGUCUCUGAUGGUUUUCUUCACCCAUAACAGUUGAGCACAACAAGAUCCAGCAACAAUGUACUCAGCUUCGGCAGUGGAGAGAGAAACACAGUUUUGCUUCUUUGAGGACCAGCAGACUAAUGAUCUUCCGAGGAAAUGGGAUGUGCCACAUGUUGACUUGCAAUCCACGCAGUCACCAGCAUAAUCAGAAUCAGAAUAUCCAACGAGGUGAAGAUUUGAGCCCUUGGGGUACCACAAUCCUAGUGUUGGUGUGUGAGAUAUGUAUUGAAGAAUAUGUUUCACAGCCUUAUGGUGUGAUUCCUUCGGUUUUGCUUGAAAACGAACACACAUGGAAACACUAAGCAUUAUAUCUGGCCUAGAUGCACAAAGAUACAAUAAAGAGCCAAUCAUCGAGUGAUAUACCUGCUGAUCAUAAUCUUUACCAUUUUCAUCGGUGCAGAGGUGGCCGUUGGUAGGCAUAGGAAUCUUGACGGCUUUGCAUUCAUGGAUGUUGAAUUUCCUGAGAAUGUCCUUGAGGUAUUUCUCCUGAGAUAUGAAGAUGCCAUUGCAUUGAUGACGAAUUUGAAGACCUAGGAAGAAUUUCAGCUCCCCCAUCAUAGACAUCUGAUAUUCUUCACUCAUGAUGUAAGCAAAUUCAUCACUCUAACGUUUGUUAGUAUAACCAAAGAUAAUGUCGUCGUCAUAUAUUUGGCACACAAAUAGUUCAUUGUCAUAAGAUUUUGUGAAAAGAGUUGGAUAAAGUGAACUAGGUUUGAAGCCUUCCUUCAUGAGGAAUUCCUCCAAUGUGUCAUACCACACCCGAGAGGCUUGCUUGAGGCCAUAGAGUGCCUUUUUUUAGUCUAAAGACUUUGUCAGGAUGCUUUGGAUCUUCAAAACCUGGGGGCUGAGCAACAUAUACUUAUUCAUCAAGCUUACCAUUGAGGAAUGAACUUUUCACAUCCAUUUGAUAUAGAGUAAUAUUAUGAUGAUUAGCAUAAGCAAGUAGUAUUGGAAUAGCUUCAAGUCUAGCAUCAGGUACAAAAGUUUCAUCGAAAUCAAUUCCUUCAAUCUGUGUGUAGCCUUGGGCUACAAGCCAUGCCUUAUUCCUCACCACUUGACCAUCCUCAUCUUGCUUGUUUCGGAAUAUCCACUUGGCGCCAAUGAUAUUGUGCUUGCGAGGAUUUGGUCGUUUUACGAGUUCCCACACACCAUUUAGCUUGAAUUGAAGAAGUUCAUAUUGCAUGGCUUGAAUCCACUCAGGUUCCAUGAAGGCUUCAACAACUUUUGAGGGUUUUGUGAUAGACACAAAAGAGAAAUGCCCACAAAAGUUAACUAAAUGUGAAGCUUUUGAGCGAGUGAGAGGACUUGGCACAUUGAUGUCAUCGAGGAUUUUGUCAAGUUCCACUUCAUUUGCAAUUCUUGGAUGGGCUAGUUGAAGAUUUUGUCUAGGCUGAGGAAUUUGAUCUGGAGCAAUUUCCUCAGGUGCACCAGCUUGAAUUUCAUCAGUGUUGGGGACGAUUUCUUCAGCAAUUUUCUUAGUAGGAAUGAUGUCUUCAGUAGGUUUCAACUUGAUAGCUUCUUCAGGAGAUAACUUGUAUGGCACAUGAGGCAAUUGCUCUCUUUGCGAGCCAUUAGUUUCAUCGAACUGCACAUCUAGAGUUUCAACAACCUUGUUGUGAUAGGUGUUGAAGACUCUGUAGGCGUGCGAGUCCUUUCCAUAACCAAGCAUAAAACCCUCAUGUGCUUUAGGUGCUAAUUUUGAGCUAUGGUGAGGAUCUCUAAUCCAGCAUUUUGCACCGAAGACUUUGAAAUUACUUACAUUGGGUUUCUUGUCAGCGAGGAGUUCAUAUGAGGUUUUCUUGAGGAAUUUGUGAAGAUAUACCCUGUUGAUGAUGAGGCAAGAAGGGUUGAUUGCUUCAGGCCAGAAACGACGAGGAGUCUGAUAUUCUACAAGCAUGGUUUGUGCCAUUUCAACUAGAGUCAUGUUCUUGCGUUCAACGACGCCAUUCUGUUGAGGAGUAUAAGGAGCAGAUAAUUCGUGAGUAAUACCAAGUUCAUCAAGAUAAUCAUCAAGACCAGUGUUUUUGAAUUCUGUCCUAUUGUCGCUUCUAAUGUGUUUGAUCUUGACACCAAAGUUCGUCCAGGCCCUUGAGGAAAAUCGGUUGAAGACUUCGUGCACUUCAGUUUUAUACAGAAUGAUAUGUACCCAAGUAUAUUGAGAAUAGUCAUCAACGAUGACAAAGCCGUAUAAAGAUGCUGCAUUUGUUAGAGUAGCAUAAUGAGUAGGUCCAAAUAGAUCCAUGUGAAGCAAUUCAAACGGACGAGUAGUAGUCAUGAUAGUCUUCGAGGGGUGUUUGGAUCUGGUCAUUUUUCCAGACUCACAAGCACUGUAGAGGUGGUCCUUGAGGAAUUUGUCUGAUUCGAUGCCAAUGGCAUGCUUCUUCUUCGCUAGCGCGUGUAAAUUACUCAUGCCUGCAAGACCAAGUCUUCGAUGCCAUAGCCAGCCUUCUGAGGUUUUUUCUAGUAAGCAUGUGGCUGGUUGAGGACCUGUGGAAAAAUCAACAAUGUAAAAUCUCCCAUCCUAAAGCCUUGGAAGACUUUGUAUCUGUCAGAUUCCAUGAUGACUACACAUCUUUAUUUUCCAAAGAUAACAACCAUAUCAAGAUCACAAAGCAUUGAGACUGACAUGAGAUUAAACCCAAGGGAUUCGACAAGCAUGACUUUGUCCAUGUGCUUGUCUUGGAAAUAGCCACUUUGCCAAGUCCCACUACCUUGCUUCUACCUUUGUCAGCAUAACUGAUUUGCUUCGGUGGUGAUGGAGUCUAUGGCAUAUUCAUCAACAAGCUUUUGUCACCAGUCAUGUGGUUUGUGCAACCACUAUCAAGAACCCACUCGGUAUUCUUGGGUUUGUCAUCCUGCAGAUGAAUUAGUACAACUUACCAUAUCAUAUGCUUCAGACUUGAAGAAUAUGAUUUCAAUUUCAUCAGAUAGGAAUUUCAUCAUAAACAGUAAAUUUGAGGAUGUGUGAAAUGUUAUAAUUUCAUCAAUUUUAGCUUGCGUCCAAUCAAGCAUUUUCCUCAGGUCUCCAGCAAAUUCUUCAGAUGAUGAUUUUCAUCUGGAGACCUGUCGUGCACAAGUGAUUAGUUCAAUUUCUUCACCACCCACAUCUGCAGGGGUGGCAAAGAGUUCAUCAUCCUGCGAGCACCAUAUGAGAAAGGGGGAUUUAAGCUAAUGCUUUUCGUUUCACAGUAGGGGGGUUAGAGUACUCAAAUGAAUAGGCAGAGAAGUUCUUUGAGUAUUUAUGAACAUAAUGAUUUGAGGAAUAAUGCUCAUAUUCAUAUCCCUUGUAAUUUCCCUGCAUAUCAGAAGGAUUAGCACAAGUACGAGCAUAGUAUUGACCAUUUGAAGAUUUUGAUCCUCUUGAAGACUUUGGUCCACCUGCGGAAUUUUAUGUGGGGUUCAGGUUCUUCAUAGGUGGUGUCAUGAGAACAUUCACCUGAAGAUUUUCCAAGCAACUUUUGGGGACCCAUAUUUUCCUCAGGGUGGUCCAUUGCUGUAGUUAGUUCCAACAUAUCGAGCAAAUACUUCACCAGAUUGAUUUUUGAACAGUUUAUAAUUGGAGUCAAAUGACUUAUCUAAGGAAUAGGAUAAUUCACAUGCAAAGCCUGUUAGAGUGGAUGGGUCGACGGGAGGACCUUUAGCAGCCACCCAUGAGGUUUCAGGGUACUGCUCAGUUUUCCAGUAUGAUCCAACAACAUUCAAUUUCCCCUCGAAGGCAAUUCCUUCUUUCCUUGGGUUCCUGUUCGAGAUCUUCUUUUUGAGCACAUCGCAAAGGGUUUGAUGCCCUUUGAGUCUUUUGUAUAUGUCUGUCACAUACAAUUCCUUCAACCCUGUAUUUUCAUUUGUAGCAUUUGUGGUUUCCUCAAGUGAAGAAUUUGAUACCACAGGAACAGUUGAAGAAUUUCUAGCGAUAGAAGCAUUUGAUGAUUCUGGUGAAGAACUGGCAGUUUCACGGUCGAUGCAUCUGAGACAUGGUGGAGUGAAUUCAACCUAAGCGACACUAAUAUGUUGAGCAAGUAAUGAAUCAUUUUCCAUUUGAAGAUCAUCAUGACACAUCUUCAACUUCUCAAUAUCAAGUUUCCUUUGAAGAAAUUCAUAGGAAAGUUUCUCUUGAUCAGCCAAGAGUGUGCCAUAACGAUCUUCAAGACUAUCAAAUCUAGACUGAAGACUUUUCACAUCCUCACCGAGGACUUGAGUGCGAUUCAUUUCACCAUUCAACAGAUCAUUGCUUCUGUCUAGCAGUUUUUGAAUCUUUUCAAUGGCACUGUGUUGUUUAGUUGCAAUGUUGGCAAGUUCACUGUAACUGGGUUUUUUAUAAUCAUCUGGUUCACAGUCGCUUGAGUCAGAGGAAGUAUCAUUCGGUACCUUUGAACCUUUUGCCAUGAAGCAAUGGGUUGGAGUGAAGUCAUCAGCAUAGUCAUCAGUGUAGACAGCGUUGUCAUUUUCUUCAAGGUUGAAGAUUGACUUGUUGACGAAUGUGGUAGUGAGUGCAAGACUUGCCACACCACACUCUGAAUCUUCUUCAGAUCCUGCCUCUUCAUCACAUUCCUCAGAUUCUUCUUCAGAAUCCAUUUCCUUUCUAAUGAGUGCCCGAGCCUUUCUGAAACUUGUCUUCUUGUGCGAUGAGGACUUUGAGGAUGAAGAUUUUGAACAUUUCUUCUUUUUCUUCGAGUCAUCAGAAAUUUCAUCCUUGUAUUUCUUCUUCUUUGAUUCUUUGACCCGGCGAGGACUGACAGCUAUGUAGUGACCAGAUUUCUUACACUUGUGGCAGGUUCUUUUGUUGUAGUCCUCUCAUGAAGUUUCUGAUUUCCUCAUAUCUCUUCUUGAAGAUUUACCAAACUGGCCAUGCCUUGUACAAUUCUGGAAUUUCCUCAUGAGCAUUGCAAGAUCCUGUCCAAGUUCUUCAGGAUCACCAAUGCUACAAUCUGAGUAUUCUUCUUUAGAUGAGUAAAUUGCUUUAGCCUUCAGCGCACAAGGUCUUGAGUAGCUUGGUCCAUACAGAGCUCUCUUUUCUUCCUGUUGGAAUUCAUGAGUAUUGAGUCUUUCAAGUAUAUCAGCAGGAUCAAGCAUCUUAUAGUCUCCUCUUUCUUGAAUCAUCAGAACCAGUGUAUCAAAAGAUGGAUCAAGAGAUCUUAGCAGUUUCUUCACAACUUCAUGAUCAGUGAUGUCUCGAGCUCCCACUGCUUGCAGUUCAUUUGAGAUGUGAGUGAGGCGAUCAAAGGUAUCUUUGUAGAUUUCAAUGUCAAGCCUCUUGAAGCGAUUGAAGAGAUUGCGAAGAACAUCAACAUGAGAGUCACGCUAAGUUGAGAUUCCUUCAUUGACUUUGGACAACCUAUCCCAGAUGAGCUUAGCUUUGCCCAAAUCACUCACUCUGCCAUAGUGACCUUUAAUCAGAUGGCCACAGAUAAUAUUCUUCGCUUGAGAAUCAAGUUGCUUGAAUUUCUUCACAUCAGCGGCAGAGAUAGUAGCAGUGAUGGAGGGAAUACCAUGUUCCACAAUGUACCAGAGAUCAUUGACAAUAGCCUGAAGAUGCAUCUACAUCUUGGUCUUCCAAUAGGGAAAGUCCUUUCCUUCGAAGGUAGGACAUCCUGCAGUAACUUUGAUCAUACCUGCAGUCAACAUAACUAAAACUCCAGGUGGUUAAACCAAAAUCACACAGAACAACGGAGUACCUUGCUCCGAUACCAAUUUCAUCGCUGAGGAAAUUCCUUGUGAGGAAAUUCCUCAAUGAUGAAUUAAGUGCACCGGAAAUAGCGCAGGAUCAGAAGUGCAAAGACUACUACAGCAGAUUACUUGGUGAAGAUUAUGACAAUCGGUUUGCACAGUUCGCAGGUACACAUAAUGCAGGUGAAGAUUAACUCGAGUGAAGAAUUUGAGGUUGAGAAAAUUCAGAGAAAGUCUUAGAAAUUGGGUUGCUCUAAAUGACAAGUGUCAGUUUCUCUCGGAGCAGCCAACCAGCUAGUGGUUGUGGGGGUGACUAUUUAUAGCGAGGGAGCAUCUUGACAUGAUUUGACAUAAAUGCCCUUAAAUAAUGUGAUCAUUGGGUGGAUAAGAUCAAUGAGGUGGCGCGUGUCGGGGCAACGGUCAGAACUUUCAAAUGUGAAAGCCCUCAUGUCUCUCAUAUUCCUCACUUUGAGGCUUUGAUAGGUUUAGGCUUGGGUUGAGCAUCAUGAGGAAAUUCAUUCUGUUGUAUUACUUCGACCGCCUUUAACAGUACGGUGUUCCUAUGACUCAAGAGUAAAGAAAAUGAAACAGAAAGAGUAAAUCUUCACACUUCAAAGUCUUCAAACAGUUUUUCUUCGGGACACACCGAAUUCCUCAUCUUCAAUAGCUUCAUGAAGAAUAUCAAUUUCAUCGAAAUUUCUCCGCGAUCAAAGUCUUCAAGGUAAGAUCAAAAUUUUCAGCUGAAGACAUACAUUUGUAGGGGUUGGUAUUCAUCAUAUAACUCAAACUCCUUAGCGGCUUAUAGAGCUUGUGCACACUUACAAACACAUUAGUCUCUUAACCUAUAAGUCUUCAAACCACCAAAAUCACUAAGGGCACUAGAUGCACUUACAAAAGCUAGCAAUGAGUUUCUUAAAGCAAUCAAUGAUGAUCUUCAAAAGAAUAGUCCAUGUUAUCUAUCCAAAUGAUUACUCUUGUCUACUUUUGUUCCACAUGUUAAAUCUAAGCAAGCUAGUAACAAAGGAAAGAAGGUUUCUUCAUCUAGUAAAAUAAGACUAAUGCUAAAUCUAAUGAUGGUGUUGAUAGUAGCUCUAUUGAUUCCACUAAUGAUUAUCUUAGUUAAGUUACACUUGAGCAAGAAAAUGACUUAUAUAAAAGAAUUAUAGAAAGAGGUCUCUUCAAGAGUCUUACCAGAAGUAAGCAAUUCGAGGAGAUUGUACGCAAGCAAGGAGGACAUCGGAAUAAACAAUGCAUUGGCUACUUCAAUGCGAAUGGAGUUGAAUGGGAAGAAGGAAAAUACCCAAAUCCUAAGUUUGUUACUAAAAAGGAGAAGUAUGAUCCUACUCUCUGCAAAGGAAAAAAUGUGCAAGAUGACCUUCCACCACAAGACCACAAGCUCAAGGGCAAGGACAAUAUUCAAGAGUAGAUUGACUCAUUUGAAGAAGAAUCCCAAGCGAUGGUCAAGUGGAUUCCCAAGGCCACCACUAGCUAUAUUUCAUCAAGCGCUACCUCAACUCCAAGGAUCCCCAUCAAGUUGAUGUGAAACCCUAACAAGAAUAACUAGACAAGUUCUUGAUGGGUGAAUCCGCCAAAAAAAUUCACUCUUAUUCAUUUUGGCAAGAGCUAUUUGCAAUCAACUCCAACCCUAUGCAUUAGUUCAAGGAAUCACACAUUCCCUCAAAGGUAAACAAGGGACAAGGUAAUUUAUGUAUCAGUGGACAUCAUUUCAUAUGUACUUCACUCCAUGUCCAUAGAUAUCCUUGUAUUUGUUCCUUGUGUGGGACUAACCCAUGUCGGCGAGAAGAGUAUGAAACAACAAGGAUUGCUCCCAACUCAAGAUGAUCUUCGUCAACAAUGAGCAUCCACAACUACUACACCUACAUGAAGUCUUCUACGUAAAAACCCAAGGUUAGUUUGUCCCUCUUAGGGGGAAUGUCACAUCAAGGGGGAGCUUUACUCAAAGACUUGACUCAAAUAAUCUCUUGAAGGUGUGAACACAUUGAAAGCUUUAUGUAAAAGUGGCAACCCCACCCGUGUUUAAAUGAUGAGUAUGACAUAUAAUCAAGUAUUCUUGCUUGGAUCCUAAGUCAAUAUACUCAUAUAUAUAUAGAUGAAUUUUUCAUCGCCGAAGUGCUUGGUAGAUACUAGAGUGGUUGUCCAAGUUUGCCAUGUUUUAUUUGACAUCAUAUUGUGUGAGAAUGUUGGUAUGCAUAUUUUUGCUCAUUUGAGGAUAUUCAAUUGUUGUUAUCUGGCUCUUCAUUUUCUUUGGCCAAUUGGAUAUAAAAGAAUGCCUAAGUACCCCUCUCUAGCUACCUAUGCUUUAUCGUCUCAAAUUCCAUUCAUGCUUCAUCACAACAUUUGAGCAAGCACUUUUCAAGUCCUCAAUGUGAGGAGCACUCGGAGUUCCAUCUCAGCAAGAGUUAACUUCCAAAACCUCCCAUCUGCCACUCGGUGUGACCAACCCCACAAACUUAGUACCACCGAAGCACUAGGGUUUAUCUUGUUUUUGAACCUAGAUACCAUCGAUUUUAAAAUCUCAGAAUCACUGAGUUUCCUUGCCCCUCGCAGUUAAGAAACUCGGUGGAACCGAAAUUGUAGAAUCGGUGUCACUGACAGCAGGAGGGUAUAUAAUCCCGCGGACCCAAUAUUGAAAAUUACUUCAACUCUUUGGAUUCCUGCACCCCUCUGCUACCAUGCUCGAGUCUGUGAACGUUGCCCUUCAUCUCCCAUGCGCCCUCGCAGCAAGAGUUUUUUGCCAUCGACCACAGUCUCACCCGUUGUCGUUGUUGUAGCGGAACCAUCACCAAGUUAGGGUAUGGUUUUGACCCCUUUUGCGCUCCCAAAGUCUAAAACUUGCGCAAUAGGACCAGUUCAUCAUCUUGCCACAAUUUGUAAUACAUCCAUCCAUGGAGAACUUCGAGUGGAUUAGUUGAAUGAGAUUUUUUAGGUUUAGGUCUCCAAUCCAUGUGUCUCGGAUUCACCGAGUUGAAACAGAUCGGUAUCACCAAUUCAUAGUCUAAGGUUUCUAAGAGCUGUCUCGGUGAGACCAAGUUUAUCUUUUCAGUGAAACCUAAAAGAGUGACCAAGUCUCUCUUUAAGAGAUAGUCAGUCUCAGAGAGUCUAAAAACGUCAACUCGGUGGAACCGAGACCCACUUAGGAGAAACUUAAGACUAAGAUUUUGAGUUCAAAUUUUUGUGAAAGGUUUCUGUUUUGUGAUGCUCAUAUUUUCCUACUCCUCCGUAUCUAUUCACAGGGUCAUCUUGUCAGUAUGUAAGGUUCUGAGGACAUUGAGAAUGCAUACAAAGAGAAGAGUGUGGAAGUUGAUUCAGCCACUAUUCUUGAGAUGAGUUUGUCAGACCCACGCACCCCCAGUUAUCAUAGCUUGCCCAAGGCAGCCACUAGGGAAAGGAAUAAGCUCAAUUCAGAUGAAGAGGACGAAGACUUCAUCUGACAUGAUGAAACUUCUCAAAAGCAAAAGGAGAGAGAAAUUGUCAGGAAGGUUCCACGGUUAGUUGCAGCCAAGAGAGGGUUGUCUCAAUCUUCAUAGCAACCUAGUGGGGUUGGAAGCGCUAAAUCUCUAGCAAAGAAGCCAAGGCAAAAGAGGCAAAGGACCAGGUUCGUCAAGGUAGUUGUUCAACCAUCUACACCUGAGUAUGUAUAUGAUGAGGAAGAAGAGGAAGAGGAACUAUCUAGCCUACCUCCUUCCAAGAAGAAAAAAUUGAUGGGAGAUGAUAUGCCCAGCAAGCCUGCAACCAAGGCCAAGCCAUCUGCUCCCAAGUCUAAGAAGCAUGUAACCUCUAAGCCCAAGAGGACUAUAAGAGACAUACCUGUAGUUGAGAACAACAAGGGUUUUCCAUCAAGGAAUGCUGCUGCAAAGGAAGAGGAACUCGUUGUUUUGAGGAAGAUGAGACCUCAUCUGCCUGAACACAAUGAUGAACACCCCAUUGAAGAGAACAUGAAGGAAAGUAAGGAUCAAGGGCUCGGUAAGUCGAGAGUAGUUGAUCCCUAUGCUACAAGGAGGAAAACUGUUGUUUAUGCUCUCUUCCAUACCAAGGAGCGGCAAGACUUUUAUGAGUGUGUUCUAUUGGACAAGAGUCCGACUAUCAGUGACAUGAGGCAUGUAGAUUGGGACUACAACAAGCAGAAUGAAGACUACUUCCCUCAUGUGCAAGAAAAUUUCACGGCCAUAGACAUUGAAGAUUUUGUUGGCAGAAAGAUGACAACAUGGAACGAUGGGUUUAUAAUGCAAUUCUACUCCACACCUCAGUUCUAUCCGGAUGGUAGAAGUGUAUGGAUGACAGAAGACACCAUGUACCAAUCCAUAGUGAAGAGAGGGUUACCAUCUUAGGAGCCCAGAGGUAUAAGAGAGAGACCUAGAUGUUUAUACUAAGGCAAAGAUGAACCACAACCCCAUGUACAACAUGUAUAACCCAGUGCCUAAGUAAUAUCUGAAGAUCCACAAGCUAGGCUCAGUCUACUUUCUACAAGAAGGACUAUCCACCACCAACAUUAUAAUGAGGCACACCUUGAUGCCCAAAUCAGGUGAUGAUAAGUUGAUCAGGGGGUAUUCCAUCAACAUGCUGCACCAUGUAGACACUCACACCAGGAUCAGGGUGAUGUAUCUCAUUGUAGAGACAAUCAGAAGGAUUGCUGCCGAUGAGAAGUGGUCUUAUGGAUACGCACCAUGCAUUCAAAUGCUGAUCAACUCCAAGAUUGGGAAUAAUGUGUAUCUGCUUGAUUGUCAACACCUGUCACUCAAGCCAGAUUUUGAAACCAAUGUUGUGGUGAUGGAUCCAAGUCAUCCCACUUCAAAAUUUGUACAGGUAGAGGUAGAGGUUGAGGCCCACGCAGAGGCGGCCGGAGCCGCUAGUGCUCCAGCGAUGAGAUCCAAAGGAGAUCAAAUGGUGUUUCUUACCGGCACCAUCCAAGGGAUGGAGAAGAACAUUAAAGAUAUCUUGCUGAAUUAAAAGAGUCUCGAGAGGAUCGUGGAAACCAAAUUCCAAGACCUGGACAUUAAGGUGACUGAGCUGACUACAACAAUCAACCAGUUGAAGCAAGAGGUUGAUGUAGUGCCCACUCCCAGCUCCAGUAGUGAUAAUGAUGAGGGUCCUUCUCUUCACACCUCCACUCAGCUCAGGACCCAGGCUAGAUCUGCAUCUAUGUUAGUUCCAGAGUCUAGACCUUCUUCUUCAGCCCCGGCAUCAGCUCCAUCUGCACCACCAGCUCCUACACCUCCAGUGUCUACUCCACCACCUUGGAGGACAUCUGCCGAAGCCUUCUCCGAUGGUCUUGUGUCGUCUCCAUCAACUGCUACCGGAGGAGAUCGAGCACAGAACGAUGCAUAGUUCUAGAUCUUUGAACUUUUUGGUAACUUGUUGCCAAAGGGGGAGAAGUGUAUAGAUCAAUAGGGCUUCGGGAGAGAGUGUGUUGUUUUUCUUGCUCUCUUUGGUUUCUAAAACUUUUGGUUCACCUUUUGGAUGUCUUAAACUUUGUCGUGUUUUAUCAUACGCUUUGAUUGUUCAGUGCUACUAUUUCCUAUCCUUGAGAUAUCUAUCUGAUGAUCAUUCACUCAUUGUUUGGUGUUAUGUGCAUUACAAUUCAUUCAUAUCAUUUAUGCACACCACCAACAUGUAUGAGACAUGGAAGAGUGAUCCAAGAUCCUAAUUGAUUGUGCAUUUGCAUUCCAACGCAAAUUUAAAAUAAUGCACAAAUUUAGGGGGGAGCUCCAGCGUAUCGCAUACUUCUCAAAGCGAUGAUGUUAUUCAUUAAUUAUAUAUUUUGUCAAAGCAUUGAUCUACAUGUUGUCAUCAAUUACCAAAAAGGAAGAGAUUGAAAGCACAACUAUCCCUAAGGUGGUUUUGGUAAUUAAUAACAACAUAUAUCAUUGGAAUAAGUUUUCUAUCUAGUAUAUUUCAGGAAAAUUUCAAUGAUGGAUUGGCUAAGGAUUGUGAGGAGAACACCUAGAUGCAAGGAACAUCUAUUGGUAACAAGCUUCAAGGGGGACUCUACAUGUUAUAUUUGUGAGAAGUCAAACUUGAGUCCAUAGGAAAGUCAAUACUAUUAAAAGGGGAUGAGGUGACUAUGAUGAUUUGGUUGCUCAAGUCCUUAGAGAUUAGCCACCAAAAACACUCAUGAAAUUCUCCCACAAAUAUUGUUUACAAAAUCCUAAAUAUCCAAAAUUCAGUGCCACCAAAAAUUCCAUUCGUCCCUGCCGAGUUUUACCUUGGACUCAUCCUAUACCAAACCCUAGUUUCUCGGUGAUACCAAGUCUUGUUUCGGCCUGACCGAGAAUCGGUGACCAACUCUGUGUCUACCUGUUUCUAACAAUCAGAAUUUUUGAGUUUUUGGAAUCGGAGCCACCGAGUCUGGAAACUUCCUAGGCCAACCAAAAUCGGACCCACCGAGAUUUCCUAUAGCGGUCUCACCGAAACGCCAAAAGUUACCACAUUUUGCACUAGUCUGUGUACCGAUUUUUUUACUUUGGUUUCAUCGAUUUGGGCAAUAAUGUUGCAAUGGUUGCAUUUUUGGAUAUGCCUAUAUAUACCCAUCCACCACCUCUCAUUCAUGGAGGAAGCACUCAGAACGAACCAACACUUGCCUCAUCCAUUUUUUUAGAGAGCCACCUACUAAUGUGUUGAGAUCAAGAUAUUCCAUUCCUGUCAUAUGAAUCUUAAUUUCUAGCCUCCCGAAGUUGCUUUCCACCCAAUCUAUCUCUUCUACCGAAGCCAAAUCUAUGAGAGAGUGAUUGAGUGUUGAGGAGACUAUAUUUUGAAGCACAAAAGCAAGGAGUUCAUUACGCUACCACAUCUAGUACCUUUUGGAGAGUGGUGUCUCCUAGGUUGGUUAGGCGUCGCUUGGAAGCCUCCUACUUUGUGUUGUGUAGUUGAACCAAGAAGUUUGUAAGGGCAAGGAGAUCGCCUAUUUCAUGAAGAUCUACUCGAGUGAAGCUAGUCCUUCAUGGACGUAAGCCAUGAUGGAAUAGACAAUGUUGCUUCUUCGUGGACCCUUCAUGGGUUGAGCAAUCCAUGGACUUGUGCGGCCGUUACCCUCCAUGGGUUGAAGUCUCCAUCAACAUGGACGUACGAUAGCACCACCUAUCGGAACCAUGGGAAAAACCUCCAUGUCAAUCUUUGCAUUUGAUCUUCCUAUCCCUACCCUCUAUUUAGAUGUGCAUGUAUUUACUUUACUCUGCUAUACUCUUACACUUGCAUGUGUAGGGUGUGCUUGACUUGCGAGUAUUGCUAAAACUUUCCCAACUAAAAUUGGGAAAAGGCUAAGCUUUUACUUGGUCAAGUAGUCUAAUCACCCCCCCCUCUAGACAUACAUCGGAUCCUACACACCGUCACUUCAUUUGACUUAUACUUCCAUUGUCAUAUUUCUUUGCGUGACUGUAAGAUAGCUUGCAUGAUAUUUACAUGGCUUGUCUAUUUUUUGAUAUCUUUUGCUAUGCUAGAUCAUUUCACAUCCUCGUACACUACAAGAGGCAUUCAUAUGGAGUCAUAUCAUCCUCUCGGUUUUUCAUAUCGAGUUGUAAGUAAAUAAAAGUGUGAUGAUCAUCAUUGUUAGGGCCCUAUCUCAUUGAGGAAUGGAUGAUGGAGACAAUGAUUCCCCCACAAGUCGAGAAGAGAGUACAGACAAAAAUAAAAUUAAAAAGAGAGAUAAAGCAAGAAAUAAAAAAGGGAAAAGGGAAAAAGAAAAAGAAAAAGGAAAACAUUUUUGAGAACAAACCUAUUGACCCAGUCCCUAGUGCAAGUUGUUGGUUUCUGUGUGUGUUUAGCUUUUCGGGUUUACAAUACCAAACGAAGUCCAAGUGCCACAAAACUUUUUGGUGACUUUUUUGGUUCAAAAGAAGUCAUGGAAGCUUUGGGGGGGCUAGGCCUCACGAGCGGAGCACCACACAACAGGGCGCGCCAAAGGGGUGGUCGCGCCCUAUUGCCUCGUGCCCCUCGGCUACCUCCUCGCGUACCUCUUUGUUCUAUAAAUUCUCUUUAAUCCCAAGAAACUAGGGAGCACCCCGCAACACUUUUUCCGCUACCGCAACUCUCUGUUCCACCAUGAGGCCAUCUGGAGCCCUUUUUUCGGUACCCCCCCCCCCCCGGACGGGGGAUAGAUAACAGAGGACCUCUACAUCAACCUUGCUGAUCCCAUGGUGAUGUGUGAGUAGUUCACCACAGACCUAUGGUUCUGUAGUUAGUACCUAGAUGGCUAUCUCUCUCUCUUGAUCUUCAACACAAUGAUCAUCGCAUCUUUGCUUUGAUCUAUCCGAUGUAACUCUUUUGCGCGGUGUGUUUGUUGGGAUGCGAUGAAUUGUGUGUUUAUGUUCAGAUUAUUCAUGAUAAAUAACUGAGUCUUCUCUCAAUUCUAAAUAUGAUUCUUAUGUACAUGAUCGUCAUAGCUUCAUAAAUCUCUCUGAUCUAUUGAUUUGCUUUGGCCAAGUAGAUUGAUCCUUCUUCACUGAGAGAGGUGUGUUGUAGUGGGCUCAAUGUGAUGGAUUUCUAUAUCCCAUUGACAUAGUAGGGGGCAAGAUAUGAAUGUGAAGCUAUGACGGACGAGCACCUCGGUGCUCGGUAUCCCGCUCGUCCAACGCAGUUUUGCGAUUAUAAUGCUUCAAUUCAUUGUCCCCCCUUAGCUUCUUGUAUUUAUAGGUAGCAGCCGACGUAGGCGUAGUUGCUUGGAACACAUGUGAGCUCCUGUUUUUGUCCUCGUAAGUGAGCUCAGUAAAGAAAAGUACUUGACCUUAUCAUGCAGGUUGAUGGAGGUGGGCCCAGAUUCCAAGCUUUUCUCACGUCAUGAUUAGACACAAAGUUUCUAGCUUAAUAAAUUAAUGUAUUCAAAUAUCCAUGAGUGCACCGUUCAAAUACAUCUCGGUAUCAAAUAGAAGUCGUGUACUUUAAGUAUGGAGCGGUCUUAUGAGCCUAAUACAAUUUAUUUAUUUAUUUGGCUAAAUUUUAAAUAAGAACUUGCGAAAAUUAGUUGAUAAGUUAAAUCUUAGUAACUUGAUAAAUGUAGAAUUUGAUUCCAUUAUCACAGUGACUUGUGCAAGUUUGUUAAUGUGCUUUGAAGGUCAGGCUCCAGGGAGCUCUUUAUUUUACUUUUGGCUGAAGGCAAGCAUGGCAAGCAGUGUUCGAAUCAUCCAAAACAAAAUAGUAAAAUGAUGGCAUUUGCUAAUCAAAUUAGAGUGAUAUGAUUUACUCUCUUUUUCCAAAUUUAUUGGUCCCUUCAUACGUUGCAGCAGAGUUUGGCCAUAUAUUUAAUUAGUAAAUAAUACCAUACGAUGAUAUGUCAUAAAAUUAUAUUGUUGGAUUUGUAUUUGAAAAUAGUUUCUACUAAUAGUAUUACUUUUGUUAAAUAUAACAUAUAUUUUGUUAGUUAAAAUAUGAUAGAAAUUGAUUGAAAAUUAAAAAAAGGGAUAUCUAAUAAUUAUUCAACAGUGUGGUUAACAAAUACCAUGACACAUUUUGUACUGCAUACACAUUUUGUAUGUAUAUAUUUAAUUAGUGUGCAAGCUAGCAUUGACUCAUUUCUAUUUUUUCUGAUUGUCUACACUUAGCUAUUGUCUGGAACAUUUGUGUGUUAAUUAGCGGCUUUCAUUAGCAAAAGCAAAUGAUUGGGCCAUGUGUGAUGGGGGGAAAGUAGGAGUACAACUGAGGAGCAUCGCAUGGAGUAGUAUCAACUGGACCAUGGACAUUUGCAUGCAAGGCUAUAUUCUGCACCUAUCCUCCUAGCUGACCGGUCCUCAAUACAUUGGCUGCUAAUGGAUACGGGGGAGCAGGCACCAAAAUUACAGGGAGGGCACAGAUCCCGACAACAUGUGAACAGCCUAGAAGUAGUGCACCGAGAUGCUUGGCCACCAUUGUGAAUUUUCGGCAAGAUACACCUUUUUAUUGUUGCCACUAAGGGUAAAACGAUGGGGUUAAUUCAUAUUAAUUGUGUUCCCUUUGUCUACAUCAUAUCAUUGUUCUCCAAGCAUUACUCAAUUUUACUUAAUACUCUAGAUGCAUGCUGGAUAGAGGUCGAUGGGUGGAGUAAUAGUAAUAGGUGCAAGCAGGAGUUGGCCUAUUUGCUUAUGGACGUGAUACCUAUAUACACAUGGUCACUUUCAUGAAUAUCGCAUAACUAUGUGCUUUUGUAUCAAUUGCCCAACAGUAAUUUGGCUACCCACCGUAUGCUGCUUUCCUCAGAGAUGCCACUAGGGAACACUAUGGCCCCCGACUGUUACUCCUAUUGGUUCGAUAAACCUUGGUUCUUUAUUGAGGGAAAUAGUUCCCUAUAUUGUGAUGCUUCACCCGUUCCUCUUCACGGAAAACCCAACGCAUAUCACAAGCAUCAUAUUGUACUAUGCCAAGUGAGAUGGUCGGCUUGGAAGUUUUUGAGUUCCUCGAGAUCAUAGUUGAGAACCCCCUUCACCCAUCUCUCUAUUGUCUAGUGCUUGAUCGACACAAUUAAUAACUUCUUGACCCUCGUUGCACAAGCCGCCUUACAAGUUUGCGAAGAUGCUCGACGGUCGUGAGCCCCAGAAAUUGAAGUUUUGUGAGGCCGGAAGCGGGUGUUGUAGGCCAUGGGGCGUGGUGCUCGUGCUCAACACCGAUGACCACAUGUACCUAGGGCGCAUCUGGGAGCAGUUUGCCAACACCCACGUCCUGUGGAUUGGGCACUUCAUUAUCUUCAGCUACGAUGGCGACGUCAUGUUCACCGUGAAGGUGUUCAACAUGAGCAUAUGCCAUAGGCACUACCACGACAACGAUGAUGCCGGUACGAUUUGCUUCUUCUUCCUCUCCUUUUGGAUUCGUCUCACUUUGUUGCAUUUGGCCAGGCAAUGGGGGCAGCAUCGACUAUGGCUACAGCAAAAGCAACAGCGGGGAUGAGGAGGAGCAGAGUGAGGAAGAAGAGGAGAAGAGUGGGGAACCGCAGAUGGACGACAGCAGUGACGACGAGAUGCAAAAGGCGAUGGUUGUGGGUGAUGAUGACCUCGCGAUGGUUGAGGCUGGCAAUGACCUCGCCAUGGUGGUGGCUCACAAUGACCUCACUGUUGUGGUGCUUGACAAUGACCUCAUGAUUGUCGGUGUACUAAAUAACAUGUCCUUUAAUACCCUAACUUGUGCACAAACGGCAUGAGCCUCAGGCCCGACAAGCUUUCUCGGAAAAUACAACGUCCAAGACAACAUCGCACGACAAGUCCAAGCCACCAACAAGCCUCCUUGCUGGUGAAGAAUACCCAGCAGCCAUCACGCCCGACAAGGUCCCACUACCAUGUCACCACUCAACCUCAUCCAACUGAUUGUCGCCAUCAAUGAGGUGUCUAGCGGACAGGCUAUUAGGUAGGCUUUGUCGGGGCACGUGGCAGCCUGGAGGAAUUACAACAACUUUAAUGGCACCCGUCCUAAUGGCGUGGCGGGAUAAUAACAGGUAGUUGGGUGAAUGACACAGAAGGAGAGGCAAUCCUUGUCGGGGAUCAACACUGGCAUGACACCUCACUCUUGUCCUAAUCCGUCAGGGUUAGGUCGGUUCCACUGUAGCAUGUCAGUAGUUUGACCACUCUUACAUCCACUAUUUACUCUUGUAGAUUUACCAUUUUGGCCACGGUGGUAACCUCUUGCACUUAUAAAAAUAAGUCCAUGCCUACCUUUACAAGGGUCAAAACCAUGCCCAUUUGCACGCGUGGAAGCAUUUCCGAGCUUCUUGUCAGGUAGCUUGUGCUCCUGGUAACUUGGACAUACUCAUAAUCCACAAACCACACGGGAGGUAGAAUUUUACGCCUCCGAGCGGCACAAACCUGUCUAAACCCUAGUUUUGCAUUGGUUGGUGUUUCUCUUUGAAUAUGUUGAUCCCCAUAGUCAAACUGCAAUGGGGCCCUCUCGGUCCCACCGAUUGUCAUACCUCGACAUCUUUGGCACACGAGGUAGGGGGAUUGCAUGUGUCAAUCUUCACGAUCUUUUGCGCUUCUUCGUCAUCUUCUUCAUCGACGCCCAUGGCACCAAAUAAUGUCAAAGGCACGUCGGCUAUCACCCUGUCUUCGUCUGAGCUGCCUUCACAUGAGGCCACAGGCGACGCUGACGGAGGCGAGUGCCGUACUCACCGUACUAGUGAGCGCAGCGACAACACUCCACGGAGUUUCACGAGCCGCGACCCGGACCCAAGCCGUCUUGGCAUCCAAGGAUGCACCGAUGACGUCCAAGCACAAUGUUGUGACGAAAGCAACAGCGAAGGCAUCGCCGACAAUGAAAAAUCCAUCGCACCCCUCAUAAGACAACUGCGACCUGGGCCCCUGGAACGAUGGCGACCCCGGACAACGUGCGGACAAGACCCCUGCGCACGUGACUCCCAAGGCACGCAAGACCAACCCCAUCAUCAAAAUCUUGAUGAACAAUGCUAACAUGCGCUGGGACGGGGCACUGCUCCUCUUGACUCUGUCAGGAGUAAGAGCGCCACCCAUGCCUCUCAUCACGCCAAGCCAAAGACCACGGAGGAAGCUCUAUCCCAAGAUCGACUAUUGCUGAACUUUCCACCUGCGCCGGAGAAGAUGGAGGAAUGGAGGGCCAUCAUACAAAGCAUGUUGAGCUUUGCUAACCGUGACAAGCCUGGCAAGGCAGGGACCUCGUUGUCGGUGUAAAAACUAGCAGAUCUUGGGUAGGGGGUCCCGAACUGUGGAUCCUGGAUCGAUGGGUUAUAGGAAGAAGGGGGAGGCAAUGGUUUACCCAGGUUGGGGCCCUCCUAUGAAGGUAAUAACCUACGUCCUGCUUGAUUGUAUUGAAGAGGAUGGUUAUAGAGUAGAUCUAGCUCGUGAUCGUAUAUGCUAAACCCUAGAUGAUUCAACCUCCUCUACACGGAUAGGGAUCUUUGGUUUAUAUACACACUAGGAACACCAUGGUUUACAAGUUAUCGAUUAUAAUCGGGAAUAGAUGAGCCGACAUAGUCCCUCUAAGCUUGGAGUACUCGCCAGUCCUUGGAGCCUUCCUUCCUUCAUACGACGUUGUCAACUAUCCGGACUCUAAUGAUUCGGUCCAUGGGCCGGCGCCCCGAGGACUCUGUAAUCGAGGACUCACUCAGUAGCCCCCGAACUAGCCUUCCACGCCCUUGUGUAUAGUCUUCGGCAACUUCCACACGUCUCUGGUAGUCGGCUUGAAAGGCAAGUUCCUCCUCCAAUUUGCAACAUCACAAACUAGUCUUCGGCGUAUCCACGAAUAUCGAAGCGUCGAGGACCCAUAACUUACAGUCCUGGCCCUAAACAUUAUUAAUCUUUGGGUGUCGUGUAUCUUAAAGUAGGCGUGCAUCCCAACGAUUCAACAGAACUGUCUCUUACACACGUGGGGGAGGUGACCUUUCUUAUAAAUAAGCAGGGGCCCAGGUCCAAGGCCUUAUCACCAUUCCCUCCUCCACAAGUGCGGCCAAGGAAACCCAAGAAUCCUAGAACUUAGCUCCAUGGCGGGUUCCUCCUCUGGUCCCAUUGGCCCUCAACCGGAUGAUUGGGCUAGUUCCUCCGUCUCCCAGCUUCGGUUGCGAGACCUUGAAGUCCAAUGGUAUCUUCCCUCUUUUGAUCUCGCCCCCACGCGUGUUGACAUAACCGCCUACAACGGCGAGGCCCUGGCAUAAAAAUACCCUACCCUGCAAAGAGGCGAAAGGGUUUGUUUUACUUCUUUCUUGCUGCGUGGGUUGGGAUUCCCAUUCAUUCGUUUGUGAGGGGUCUAUUGGAGUUUUAUGGAUUGCAGCUCCACAAUCUAUCUCCAGGUUCCAUUCUACACACCUCACACUUGGUAGACUUCUGUGAGGUGUUCCUAGGCUGCGAACCUCACUUCGAUCUAUGGAGAAAGUACUUAUGCAUUGUUCCUUGGACGGACGGAACAUCCAUUCGAGAAGUAGGCAGGGUCUAGGUGUGGCGUAUAGCAGCCAUCGGAUACAAAGUUGGUACACCGAGUGAGGUGACCAGUGAAUUGGCUUCAGAGUGGUUCUACAUCGACGAUGUCCCUUUAUUCGAGCCAGUUCGGUGAGGCCUUCCCGACUACUCAGCGGACCCUUUGAAGAAGCGAUUCUACCAGCGUCCGAAGAGUAAAUCUGAAGAAGAGGGUUCGAAAGUGAGGCGCCUAGCCACCAACGUAAAAAUGCUAGCUCACGGUGGUCUGACCAUCUUACAAGUGAUGGCCACCAUAAUCACCACAUGCGUUCAACCGCUUCAGCGGCGCAUACAUCCUUUAUGGAAUUACUGCGAAACAGAUGACUCGACGCACUCCAUGCGGCAAGGACCGGACAACGGGGAUGACUUAGCAGCCAUUCUAGCUGAUUUUUACAAUGGGGGAAAGGAAGAUUUUUCCCGUGUCGUCGUACAACCCCAUCCCGUGGGUAAGUACACACAGAUCUGCAGUUAUCUUGUUUGAUCAUGUUACCGAUAAACGUAAACCCCUUGAUCCUUUGCUUGUAGGAUUGGAGGUGCUGGAUUGAAACAGUGAGAUGCCCCACUCCCUAGCCCGAGAACUAUGCUCGGGAUGACGACCCUCGAUUCCACAAAGAUCCGUAAAUCUCUAUUAUCUUUGAGGAUGGGGUAUUUUACUAGGAUAGCCUUGACAGAUAGGUGGUGGCCCUUCUGGCUGAUUACCCUAGGUCUCUCCCACCUUCGGCAAGCAAGCGGAAGGUGGCCACUCAUCGUGGUACUACUCCAAAACAUCGCCGGAGCACGCGCCGAACAGCAUGCCGUGUUCCCCUGGCCGGGGUUGCGUUGACUGAGGAACAAGUUUCCGCACACGAGGCGGCAGGCAAUACCACAUCCGUCCCUCCAGCCACAUACUCAUAUCCACCAUUUUCCAUUGUGUACUUACAAUCCCUUUUGCCGAUAAUUAUAGAAAACGAGCACGACCCUCCUUGCCAAAAAACAUGGCCGAGGUAUUGGAAAGCGAGCCCAACCCAUGAUAUUCGGCCAACGCGGGGGCUCCGAAUACUUGCCCGAUGCCCGGCUCUUUGACAACGUUUCAGCGACGAACUCUGAAAUUGAGAGUGCUAUGAAUCAUCGGCAUCGCAAGGAGUCAUUACGACACCAUAUCCUCUUGGAGAAGAAUUUUAAUGCUCUAAAUUCGAUUGAUGCCUAUAUUGGCGCUGCGUGGAACAGUCUCAAAGAAGUAGCCUUGCAAACAUCAGCCCGACUACACGUAUUCAUUGGUCUUUUGGUAAUUCCAACCGAAUUCAGGUCUAGUACCCCUCCCCCCCCCCCCUGAGCCUUAAUUUGGUCGGAACGACCGAGUUAAGGCUCGACCUGACCAUUGAUUUUGCUUUUCCAGGCUUUGAAGUAGGAAAAUAACAAAUUGUCUGAAGAUAUGCAAUGAAUGCAAACCGAACUUCACGCUAGUAGGACAGAUCUCGAGGAUGUAAAGAUAUUUACCAGGGAAGCUCAUGGUAAGGGUAAUUUGGUUGAUGGUGCAGCGAAUUGCAUAAGGCCACUUACUCAUCAGAAGAUUUUUUUGAUAUAGCAGGCAAAUCCAUGAACCAUAUGCAGAGGGAUCUCGACUCAGCUCGUGAUUCUCAAAGGUACGCUGAAUCCCAGCUUGAAGUCGGUCAUCGUGUAUUAACAAUAUGCCGCCUAGAAAACAACCAGCUCGGGGAGGAGAAGAAAACCCGGGCUGAAGAGAUUGAAGUGUUAAAAGGUCAACUGGCACAAAGCAAUGAGGAGAAUCAACAUUUAAAGAGCGGUUUAUAUUGUAAGUAAAAAUCCCUGACCUGUUUGUUUGAUAAUUCACUAUAUGAUGACGGUAUACUACAGGACUUCCAUCGUUCAUUUUUCCUUAAAAGGUUCUCGAUCGGGCGACCAAUGACAGAAGCCAAUUCCUUUGGGGAGAAUAUCUACAACAGCUUUCCGAUAUUAAUGAGCUGGCUCGAAAAGCCAUGCGGAAUAUGAUCCAAGCUCUUUGGCAGGACCAGACUCCACCACAUGGGAUGGCUAACCUGUCCGAACUAUUCAAAAGACCUCAGAGUCGUUUCGAGGUGUGGAAGAUUUCAGCUUGCCGAGAAGGAGCUCGGUAAGCAUGGGCCAUGGUGAAGACCCGCUUCACCCGUCUUGAUCUCGAACACCUGGCCCAAGUUCGUCCAGCAAGCCCUGAUGGCACGGAGAUACCUCUACAUCUGGUUUACGACCAAGUGAUGCCAGUUGCCCGUCUAUCACAGGAAGACUGUGCUCUGGAUACUAUAAUAGAUGAUCUGGACCAGUCAAGGGUGUAACCAUGUGUCAUGUUUAUAUUUUGUGUACCAAGACACUUUCCUUCAAAUUUGUAACGUUUGUCAUAACCGGCCAUCGACUUCUACCUCCUAUGUUUCAAAGAACCCGGGAGUGUUUUGUACUUUGUACCCGAUGAUAUAGGAAAUCAAUUUCCGAGAACAAGGCAAUCUGGCCAUACGGUACAAACAGACAAAGGAGGUAUGAGGGGAUUAUGUUAUAUUACGAUGAAGCACAAGAAACAUCUUCCGAAAAAAAUAGUUCUUUAUGGGUUCCUUUUUCGGGUUGCUACAUAGUCUGUAGUUAUUUAGAAUGUUUUUCUGAUUAACUUGGAUGUGUGAUGGUGAGUACCGCCGAUUAUUUGACCUCGUUUGCUGCCGAACAAGUUGUAUAUUAAGAACGCUAGCUUUCGGCUUCACCCUUCUGAGGUACGAGUCCAGGCGAGCUGGCCGUAUGAAUCAUAGAGGUGCUCCCUUUACUCUCUAGCCGAAUAGAUCGGGAACAUAGAGAGUAAGCAUAGGAGCGAGGCAACCCAGCUUUGCAAAGAUCCUAAGUCUAACUGAUGCAUACCAUGGCUUCAAUUUAUUUCAGUCGAGGUUUAUACAAGACAUGUAUAUUUAAACAUAUCUGCUUGCUUCCUUACGAAGCCCCCAGGUGUUAUGCUAGAAUAUUUGAAUUUACACGAGUAUUCGAAAAAACACAGUAUUCAGUUAAGCCGAACUCCCCUGGGGGUAGUCUAGGAAGAUCAUACAAAGAAAGAAGAAACAGAAAUGUUCAAAAAGAAAGGGAAAGGAAAAAAUGAUACAGGGGCAACGAUGUUGGUCUAGCCAUAGAAACACCGAAGGCGAGCCGCGUUCCAUGGGUUUGGCUCCAGGCGAUUGUCUCCUGGAUUGCGCAAAUGAUAAGCUCCUCCCGUCAGAACUGCGUCGAUUAUGAAGGGGCCUUCCCAUUUUGGGUGAAGUUUAUGCUUCUGUUUUUCUAGGAGGCGAAGCACUAGUUCGCCCGCAUUGUAUGGCUUGGCCCGAACUUCUCUGCUUUUAUAGCACCUGGCUUGCUGCUGGUAAAAUGUUGAUUGGGCUUGAGCAAUGUCACGCUCGCCUUCUAAGGCGUCCAAAUCGUCCUGCCGAUCUAGCUCGGCUUCCUUUUCCUUGUACAUACGCACAUGGGGUGCGUCGUGGAUGAUAUCACAAGGAAGGACUGCUUCGGCCCCGUAUACCAUAAAAUAUGGCGUGUAUCCUUUGGAAUGUUUCAGUGUGGUAUGCAAGCCCUAUAGUACGGAAUCGACUUCCUCCACCUAAUGACAGUCGGAUUCUGUAGGAGAGCAUACGAGACAUGGUUUAAUACCACUCAUGAUGAGUCCAUUAGCUCGUUCGACCUGGCCAUUAGGUUUGCGGAUGGUAAACUGUGACAUAAUCGAGCUUGAUUCCUAGAUUUGCACACCAAUCCUUCACCUCUUGGGCGGUCAAAUUGGAUCCAUUGUCGGUUAUUAACCUUUGCGGGACACCAUAAUGAUGCACGACGCGAGAUAUAAAAUUGAUGACUCGCUUGGCCUUGGCAGAACUGACCAGCUUUGCCUCGAUCCACUUGGUAAAUUUGUUGACCAUUACCAGGAGAUAUUUCUUUUUGUUGGUCCCUCCUUUAAGUGGGCCGACCAUGUCCAUACCCGAGAACGCAAAUGGCGAAGUGACUGGAAUCGUCCGUAGGGCUGUGGGAGGCAUAUGGCUUUGAUUCGCGAAGAGUUGGCAUCCCGUACAUCGUUGAACAAGUCUGUGGGCGUCUUCUUGAGCUGUGGGCCAAAAGAAACCAGCACAGAAAGCCUUGUUAACCAAGGCCCGGGAUGCUGCAUGAUGUCCGCCCAUGCCGGAGUGUACUUCAGCAAACAAUUGUUUCCCUUCUUCUUCGGAUAUGCACCAUUGAAGUAUUCCAGUGGUGCUCUUUUUAUACAUCUCACCCUCAUGGACCUUAUAGGAUUUAGAUCGGCGAAUAAUGUGUCAUGCCUCAGUUUGGCUUGGGGAGCUCCUUGCAUAAUAGAUAGGCAAGGAAUGGUUUAGUCCAUGCAGCGAUUACUUCCAUGACUUCAUGUGCUGAUGGUCUUUCCUCAAUAGAAGGCCCGCCGAUGACUUGAUCGUCUUGAUGGGCUAUGGCGGGGGAGGGGGGUUAGCUCCACACUAUUGGUUGUUUUGCUCCCUGACUCGUCCUGCCACACCACAGAUGGCUUACAGAGCCUUUUAAGGUAUACGUUAUAGGGGAAAGUGUCGCGUGUCGUGCCUAAGCGGGAAAGAAAGUCCGCAGCAUGAUUGUUAUCCCUUGAGACGUGAUGGGAUUCCAGCCCCUCGAAUCGUGCCAAUAUCUUGAGGAUGGUGUCUCUAUAUGCUACCAUCUUCGGUUUUUUGGCAUCAAAUGUGUCGUUUUAAUUUGUGAUAUGGCAAGGUUGGAGUAUCCUCAUACCUCAAGCCAUUGUAUGCCCAUUGAGACCGGCAUCCAAAGACCAUGCAACAAUGCUUCGUAUUCGGUUGCAUUAUUAGAGUCGGCGUACAUAGUGUGCAGCACAUACCCUACAUUGUCUCCGGUAGGAGAUGUGAGGAUUACUCCAGCUCCUAGACUGGCAAGGAUUUUGGAUUCGUCAAAGUACAUGAUCCAAUGAGCAUAGGUGAUGUAUUCUUUGGGGAGUUCCUUCUCCGUCCAUUCUGCAACAAAAUCAGCCAACACUUGAGAUUUGAUAGAUCUUCGUGGCUUAUAGGUGAUCUCAAACGGCAGGAGAUCGAUGGCCCACUUGGCAAUCCGUCUGUAGCAUCCUUGUUGUUAAUUAUCGUUCGGGGGCACUUCCGAUGUCAGCGUGACUACGCACUCCUGAAAAUAGUGACUGAGUUUGCAUGACGCCAUGAACACUAUGUAAGCGAUUUUCUGGUAGUGCGGGUAUCUCAUCUUGCAUGGGGUAAGCACCUCGGAUACGUAGUAGACAAGCCUUUGUACCCGUAACUAGUGACCCUCGGCUUCUCAUUCUACGAUGAGGACCGCGCUGACAACUUGAUUAGUGGUUGUGAUGUAUAGCAACAUCGAUUCCCCUGGAUGAGGUGCGGCGAGUAUAGGGUUACUGGCCAGUAACAUUUUGAUUUCAUCUAGGGCCGUCGUGGCCUCCUCGGUCCAUUUGAAGUUUUAGUCUACUUCAGCAACCAUUAGAGCAGGAGGGCCUUCUCGCCGAGGCGAGAGAAGAACCGGCUUAAAGCCGCCAUGCAGCCUGCCAAGUGUUGGAUGUGCGGUAGCUCUGUUGGGAUAGCGUGUUCGGACAAAGCUCGGAUUUUGGCUGGAUUGGCUUCGAUUCCAUGCUGUGAAACGAUAAACCCGAGGAGUUUGCCGGGUGGGACUCCGAAGACGCAUAUCUCCGGGUUAAGCCGUAUGUCAUAUGCACGUAGGCUCGCUAACGUUUCUCUCAGAUCGUCUACUAGUUGACUCACAUGGCGGGUCUUGACGACUACAUCAUCCAUGUAUGUCGCCACGAUUUUGCCGAUUUGUUUUUUCAUACAUGUCUCGUAAGUAGCGCCUGAAUUUUUAGCCCGAAGGGCAUUGUGUUAAGGCAGAACGGCCCGUGUGGGGUUAUUAAAGCAGUUCUUGCCUGAUCGGAUUACUUCAUUUCGAUCUGAUGAUAUCCGGGGUAUGCGUCAAGGAAGCACAGAGAGUCGUGUCCGGCUGUUGCAUCGAUGAUCUGGUCUAUUCGGGGUAAAAGAAAGGGGUCCUAUGGGCAUGCUUUGUUGACGUCUUUAAAAUCGACCCACAGCCGCCAGGAUUUAUCCUUCUUUGGUACCAUGACCAAAUUUUCAGGACAGUCGGGGUGUUUGAUGUCCCUGAUGAAUCCAACCUCCAAUAACUUGGCUAGUUCUUCCCUCAUGGCUUGACGCUUGGGUUCACAAAAUCGUCGCAGGGUUUGCUUGACCGGCUUAAAGCCACCUAAUAUGUUCAGGUUGUGUUCAGCCAACCCCCUGGGGAUCUGUGGCAUAUCUGAAGGAUGUCAGGCAGAUAUAUCCCAGUUCUCGCAUAGGAAGGCGUGUAGUGCUUCAUGUACUAUCGGUUCCAGGUGGGCUCCAACGGAUGAGGUUUUAUUGGGGUCCGUUGGACGUACCUGGAAUUUGAUAGUUUCGCCCGUCGGCUUGAAAGACGUAGAUUUCGGUCGCUUGCCAAGGACUACGUUGUCUUUGUCCACCACGGCCCACAGGGCUGUUAGUUCUUCUGCGGCCAGGGUUUCGGCCAGUACCUCCAAGGCUAGGGAUGUCGUCCUAUUUUCGGCUCGGAGCGCCCUAUGAGGAUCACUUUCUAUCGUGAUUAUACCAUUUGGUCCUGGCAUUUUCAGCUUUGUAUACCCAUAGUGUUGUAUGGCCUAGAAUCUUGUGAAGGCCUCCCAUCCCAGCAGGGUGUGGUAGCCACUAUGGAAUGGCACGAUGUGGAACAGGAGCUCCUCAAAUCGAUAGUUAUCGGGGGUACGGAAUACAGCGUCGAGUGUAAUGCAUCCUAUGCAGCGUGCUUCUUUGUCGGGGACUAUGCCUCGGAAGGUGGUUGAGAUUUUCCUAAUUCGGGAUCGGUCGAACUGCAUUUUAUCCAGCAUAUCCUCAUAAAUGAGGUUAAGGCCGUUGCCCCCGUCCAUGAGUACUUUGCUCAGUCAGAAGCGAUCUACGAUCGGGUUCAAAACUAGGGCGGCAGGUGUCCGGCCAGUGUUCAUUACCGACUCGUCAUGUUGGUCGAAGGUAAUAGGUGUGUUUGACCAGGGGUUUGUCUCCACUACAUUGCUGAUUUGAUUAAGCUCUCGAAAGGCUCUCUUUUGUCGGUUUGCCGAGUUGAAUGUUUCAUAGAUCGUUAGGAUGUCCACACUAUUGCUCGGUUGUGCCCGAGGCCCUUCGUGUCUUAAUGUCUAGAGGAUUACUUCCCCACUUUUCGAGACUUGCCGAACAACCCAACAGGCUCGAAGGUUGUGUGUGGAAAGUGUGUCCAGCGGGACAAAGUGUAUGGGGCAUGGCUUGUCCAGUAGUGUUUCAAGGAUCGACUUCUCCCUUUAUUUUGACUUAUUUCUCUUUUCCGUAUGCUCGGAGGUAGCUUGUCCUGUAAAAGGGGUGACUGCUUUAUCCGAAUUCGCCUGCCAUGCUUGGUGUAAUUAGGCUCGAUGCACAUCUUUUGCAUUUGCCACGUGCUUUCCAUGGCACAGUACUUGAGUACCAGGUUCGAUAGUUCCGCAAAUUUAAACCCGGUGAGGGUCUAGGGUGUUGUGAACGCCCUCGUCCCGACAAUGUGUCUGGAAGGGACUUAUUAUCUCAUGGUUGCUGGUUCCUUCCCUCUUUUGAAGAAGGAUGAAUCUCACCCAAAAGUGGUGCACCCAGUCACGUGGUCUUUGAGUGACCGGGGACGGGUUUGAACCGAACCAUGCUCUCAAGGGAUGUUGAGUUUGGGUGGUGGGCGGGUUUAAUUUUUGGAUUCCUGUUGGUUGUACUCCUGCGAGUUCGGUCGCCGCAUACUUGAUGGGACCGUGUACCAAACCAGCCACCAGAGCUGGAUAGAAACUCCGGGUUGGCGAGUCUAUCUGGGCAAUCGGCAACUGGGAUGUGUACCAUUCUUAAUUUCGAUGAUUGCUACGAGGAGCCCUCGACAGGGCGUUCGAUAGUACUAACCAGAUGCAUGAUAGGCGGGAUGUGGAUUUCCCUAUCGUCGGGUCUGAUCCCGAUCCGAUCAUAGAUCGUGCCGUGACCAUCGGUCAUGCCCAAAACUUGGAUCUGGUCGAGUAACCUAAGUAUUGUUGAUGUUCCGGCGGUACUUGCGCUGCUUGUGUACCCGGGGGUGACUGGUGUCCCUAAUCCCUCGGUGGUAUUUGAGAUCACCUUUGGGGAGAGCUCGGCUGAUGCGAGUUUAGAUGCCCCGAGUCUGUCAGGCUUUAAGGCCGAAUCAGGGAUGAGUUUUGUCUCGAUGAUUGGAUUUACGACCUCAAAGCACAAACCAUCGAGGUUUGUAUGCUCCUUCAAUGGAGCAGAAAGCCCGGCUAACACAAGGUCUCCCCAGGGGUCGGCGAUGAACUCUAGGCUCCCGAACCUGACUUCAUGGCCGGGGCCGAAAUUUGUGAUUUGACCGAGGUGGCCGGUCGAAUCGGCGUGCAGAACGAUGCUUCCGAACGCGAAGAUUUGUCCGGCGAUGAACAACUCCUUGUUGCGGACCUCCUCGCUGAUUACCAGAUGAGCCAUCGAACCUGUUGGCGAUCCUGCAGUGGAACUCUCACUGAAAGCACCAAUGUCGGUAUCAAAACCGGUAGAUCUCGGGUAGGGGUCCUGAAUGGUGGACCUUGGAUCGAUGUGUUGUAGCAAGAAGGGGGGUACAUUGGUUUACCCAGAUUCGGGCUUGUAGGGACCGGAUUUUCGAGGAUUUUAAAUUCCCUUCAAAUGGCCUUCGAGUAUACCAGCUCCAGGAAUAUUGUUAGCUGGCACACAGUAUUCUUGAUACAAAUGUCCAAGCAAAAUACACAUUGAAGUACAUGACCAAAGUGGUCUAAUGAGUACGUCAAAAAGGGUUUCUAGUGGUUGAUGGCGGAAGCGUGCUGGGAUCUCCAACUCCUCUGGGACUCCAUUUCCCACAGGAAUAGCUGACCGGGUAACUUCUAUCACACUCACUCUUGAAGCCUACGCUUCAAGAUUCUUGUCAAGCACCUCCUCUCCAAGCUUGCAAUCUCGCCAAGACAAUAGCCAGGGGCAAGCCAGUGAGUACUUUGAAUGUACUCUCAAACAGCACGAAGCAAACAUGUAACUUGCAGGGUUAUUCGUACACACAUAAUGAUAUCGUAAUACUGCAUCAACUCAAUUUACUAGUCAAGCAUUAGUAGUUAAGCAAUAAUCAUACUGAAAGUUAUUAAGAAAUAAAUAAUAAUAUUAACAUAGGAUGCAAUACAAAACAUGUCGCAGUCGGAUGUCUUAGCGACACCACAUAAAGGGCUUAUAUGAAAUAGUAACAAGCAUGCCAGAGUCGGUCGCGUGAGCGACACCACAUAAAGGGCUUAUAUGAAAUAGUAACGAGCAUGCCACAGUCGGGCGUCUCAGCGACACCAGAUAAAGGGCUUAUAUGAAUUUAAUAGAGAAUAUCCAGGAGGUAGAACCGUCUCAGGGAUAUUCACAACAAAAAUCAUAAUGGUUAGUUCAAAGAAAAAUAAUGGUUAAAUUCAUCCACCAUAUUUCCUGAUUAGCCUCAUACUCCAUUAACUACCUCUGAAGACCGACACUUAGACCGACGCUUGACUAGUCAACCCACGUCCCUGACCGUGGACACGGCUACUCAAAUAGUUUUGACUUUGUAGAGGGUGUACUCUUUACCCAUAGCCCGUGGUUUUCAAUAGUCAAUACGACUAAUUCCGCGUACGGCAUUUUAGAAGUGGACACUUAGAAUCAUCACACACCCACUUUACCUCCGUGAAGCCCGGAUUCACCCGAACUACGCUGCCAAGGUAAAACCAUAAGCCAGGAAGGCUCCGACCUUGACUAGCAUGGGAUCAACAAUAUUUAUAUCGCGCGCUUACGGGGAGUGCCCUCCCUUCCGAUCCCAGACCGGAAACACCCAUGCCCCCUGACCGAAUGACUGGAAUUAUAUCACGGUCAUGGAUACCUUCAUCCUAGCCCCUCUACUAGUGUGUGAACGAUAAUAGGCCUGCAACUAACUAUACCGAAUCCAUUAUCCAGGAAACUACGCUAGCACACAAAUAAGGAGACAUACUGACAAGACUCGAUCUAGGGUCGACUUAGGAGGCUUAAGUAUUACAUGCAUGAUUAGUACAUACCCUGUGUAAACAGAGUCACUACCCACCUAACAUGCCUCAUUGACCCCUCUCGUCCACGAGAUGUCAAUCCCACGGUCGUGUCUCCACAAGACACCGACUUUCACCGAAUCCCAUACGGUAGGCACGUAGGGUAGGAAAGAGUGACCACUAUCCAUGCACAACAAUCAUAGAAACCUUUACUUCCCAAAUCAUGCAACCAUAUGUAUGAUUUGCCACAUGAAAUAACACCACAAAUAUAACAUAACCCCAUGUUACUUUCACCAAGCAAACACACAUGACUAAGUUAAAAGUAGGUUCCGGAUGCUUGCCUUCUAUGUGUAUAGAGGCGGGGUUCACCACAAAACUUUAGCAAGUUUUAACUCCACUCUUCAAAGCCUAUUUAAAAUAUAUGCUAAUUAACACAUGAUUAAAAACAGCACAUAAAGUUGUCUUGGAAAAUUUUCAAAUAAAUACUAAAAUAAACUAGGCAGAAUUUGAAAGAGGUGACAAAAAGAAUCAACUCAUUUGGAGUUUUCUACAAAAAGAUAUAGCUAGUCAAUAUCUGUUUUACAAAAUCAAAUGACGCUAGCGUAGGAGUGAAAACAUACUUGGUGAGUGCGCCUCCACUUGCGCGGGUUCAGGCUGGGGCAGAGACGCUGACGUGCGGGUCCCACGAGCAGGUUUGACUCGGGUCUCCUUCUUCCUUCUCUGGCCGAAGGAAGGGCAACUCCGGCGAGGCUCACCGGCGACAGGAGCCACCAUUCGAGGAACGGAGGGUACCGGCGUGCUCAGGGGACCAAGGCGCAUCCAUUUCACUGCCUUGGGGCCGCGGCGGCUGCCAGAAUCGAGAAGCCUUCCUCCACGGCGGAGGGAGCUUCGGCUCCGACGGGGAACUAGCCAGGAGGGGUCCUAGGUGCACGACGAGGGUUGGGGUAGCUCUGCUAGGUCUACGAGGUUCGACCUGAAGGCUCAGGCAGGGGGAAAGCUCACUGGUGGGACCGAAUCGACCCGAGGGCUAUGGUGGCCGAAGGUGACUGAUAUGUCGCCAACGUAUCUAUAAUUUUUGAUGGUUUCAUGCUAUUAUCUUGUCAAACUUUGGAUGUUAUGUAUGCCUUUUAUAUAUUUUUUGGGACUAACUUAUUAACUCAGUGCCAAGUGCUAGUUCAUGUUUUUUCCAUGUUUUUGACCCUUUUCAUAGGAGAAUUUUAAACGGAGUCCAAACGGAAUAAAAUCCCCGAAAAUAUUUUUUCCGAAACAAAAGAAUAUCGGGAUACGUGAGAACCAAGGCAGCGGGUCCCCAGGGACCCCACAACCCCCAGCCCCGGCCAGGGGGGAGGCCGGGCCUCACGGGCUUGUGGGCCCCCUGGACCUCCUCUACCCUAGGUUUUGCGCCUAUAUAUUCCCUAAAAUCCAAGAAAAAAUCAGUAGAUCAUCGAAAAUACUUUUCCGCCGCCGCAAGCUUCUGUCUCUGCAAGAUCCCAUCUGGGGCAUGUUCUGGUGCCCUGCUGGAGGGGGGAUUCGGAUACGGAGGGCUUCUUCAUCAACACCAUGACUUCUCCGAUGAUGCGGGAGUAGUUCACCAUAGACCUACGGGUCCAUAGCUAGUAGCUAGAUGGCUUAUUCUCUCUCUUGGAUCUUCAAUAUAAAGUUCUCCAUGAUCUUCAUGGAGAUCUAUCCGAUGUAAUCUUGUUUUGCGGUGUGUUUGUCGAGAUUCGAUGAAUUGUGGAUUUAUGAUCAGAUUAUCUAUGAAUCUUAUUUGAGUUUCUUCUGAUCUCUCUUAUGCAUGAUUUCAUAUCCUUGUAAUUCUCUUCGAGUUGUGGGUUUUGUUUGGCCAACUAGAUCUAUGAUUCUUGCAAUGGGAGAAGUGCUUGGUUUUGGGUUCAUGCCGCGUGAUGACCUCACCCAGCGACAGAAGGGGUAGCGAGGCACGCAUCGUGUUGUUGCCAUCAAGGGUAAAAAGAUGGGGUUUUCAUCAUUGGUUUGAAAUUAUCCCUCUACAUCAUGUCAUCUUGCUUAAGGCAUUACUCUGUUCGUCAUGAACUCAAUACACUAGAUGCAUGCUGGAUAGCGGUCGAUGUGUGGAGUAAUAGUAGUAGAUGCAGAAAGUAUCGGUCUACUUGUCUCGGAUGUGAUGCCUAUAUGUAUGAUCAUUGCCUUAGAUAUCGUCAUAAUUUGCACGGUUCUAUCAAUUGCUCGACAGUAAUUUGUUCACCCACCGUAAUACUUGCUAUUUUGAGAGAAGCCUCUAGUGAACACUAUGGCCCCCGGGUCUACUCCACACCAUAUUUUCAGCCUUACACUUUUACUUCAUUGCACUUUCCGCCUUCAGAUCUCACUUUGCAAUCAAUCUUGAAGGGAUUGACAACCCCUUUAUAGCGUUGGGUGCAAGCUCUUUGUGUUUGUGCAUGUACUCUGGACUUGAUGGGAUUCUCCUACUGGAUUGAUACCUUGGUUCUCAAACUGAGGGAAAUACUUACUGCUCAUGUGUUGCAUCGCCCUUUCCUCUUCAAGGGAAAAACCAACGCAAGCCCAAGAGACGACAAAAGGAUCUAUGGCACCACUGCAGGGCAAGAACUUUUGUUGCCGUAGCAGAAGAAUUUCUGGCGCCUUUGCCGGGGAGGAUCCUCUCCCNNNNNNNNNNNNNNNNNNNNNNNNNNNNNNNNNNNNNNNNNNNNNNNNNNNNNNNNNNNNNNNNNNNNNNNNNNNNNNNNNNNNNNNNNNNNNNNNNNNNAGUGUCAUCAUCGCAUCGUAGCAUUCUCUUGCCAAGUUGAACCUGAGCCUUCAAAGCCAUUACUUGUGCAAUGGCAUCCAGUUGACAAAGCUCAGUGUGCUCGUGAAUAGGACGUUUUGAAGACUCCAACAUUUCAUAGAAGGCCUUUCCAGAUUCCUCCAUCUCAUCGUCCGAAUCCCGAGCAUCAUCAAAGUCUUGCACCAUGUCUUCGAUCCCGGUACCAUACUCGUCGGUGCGAUGACGAACCACCUUAGCUCUGGUGUGUUGUAUAGACUCACCAUGAAAUCUCCACACCAUAUAAUAGGCUUAAAACCCCUCCUCUGCAGUUGUUUAAUCAUUUCAGCCUUUGUCCWRUUUUUAUAGUUGUCGCACCCAGGACAAGGGCACCAGUUUGUUUCCUAGCCAUUUGCAAAUGCGACUUUCUACAAACUCCUUGGUUUUUAGAAAUCAUUCUUUGGUCAUCUGUUUUUUACUAGGGUGACCGAUGUACAUCCACGCACGAUCACUCAUUUGUCUAGCUGCUAAAGACACACACACACGCACGCACGCACGCGCGCACGMGCGUGCACACACACACACACACACACACACAGUCACACACACAGUGAGGAAACUACCGCGAAGUUCGCCCCUACUACCCUCUUCGGCAAUGCAGGUGGGACGAUCCUAUUUAUUUGCAGGUUUACCGAAAUGUGAAUGAACUCAGCAGUCGAUCAGCACUCGCACAUGCAUGCAUGCAUGGGCCGGCCGUGGAAAGCUAGCUAGACAGCUCCUUUUGAUCUUUGGUUAGCUGCGCGGGCGCGGUCAUUUUCAACUAGCUAGUGUGAUUCCUAGAAGCAGCAAUGCUGCAGUAACAAUAACAAUGCCACGGACUCUUGCAACUGCCUUCUGUCCAACUACGGAAUCAGCAGAACACAUUUUCCUUCUUUGCAGUUAAACCAAGACCUUCUGUCCAACUACGAAAUCAGCAGAACACAUUUUCCUUCUUUGCAGUUAAACGAAGACCUUCUGUCCAACUACGGAAUCAGCAGAACACAUUUUCCUUCUUUGCAGUUAAACNNNNNNNNNNNNNNNNNNNNNNNNNNNNNNNNNNNNNNNNNNNNNNNNNNNNNNNNNNNNNNNNNNNNNNNNNNNNNNNNNNNNNNNNNNNNNNNNNNNNGAAACAUGUGGGGGAGAUAAUAAAAAUGAGUUGGGAAAGAUUUAAAGAAUGACCAGAGAGUUGGGCUGGCAAAGGAGGAGAUGACGGUUGGCUGUUGUGCGCCCGCAACGGUCAUGUGUGCCACCCACCGGCCCUCUCCUGAUUCAUGCGUGUCAUGAUCAUCUUUCCCCAUUUUUCCCACGGAGAAAGUCCAAUUGUCGGUCAUACAUCUAGCUGCUUUUAAACUCAAAAAAAUGCAAAAACUUUGUUGAUUUGCGUGUUGUAAAUUCCUGUCCUCGUGGCCCUGUUAGUCAGCAUGCUGCUUAUCUCAAGUAGAAAAAUAAAAGAAAAAAAAUAUAUUGCGAUGCAAUGCUGUGACAGUAAAAAAACAACACCGAACAGCAACCAGCUGUUCGAAAACCCCUGCAUAUCUAGCCUACACCCCCUCCGUAUUUGUAGUAAAUCAAUGACAGCAUAUUUUGGGACAAAUGGAGUACCAUAUAAUUGUAAAAAAAUCACUAGUGAAAACAACACUAAACAGGUGACUAUCACCACCCACAACGGCACUAAUACUCAUCAUAUGGGCUACACCCACAAUCAAUUUGUACAUAACCAACAAGCUAUCAACCACUUUACACGUUGAAGCCUUCAGGAUGUGAAAAUAAAGAAGACAUGGCAUUAUCUCCACAGCGGCUUCGAAAACCUCCGCUGCUCCAAUCACAGGCACACAAAACCAACAAGCACCCAACCUUUCAACCCGAAAGGUGGAGACACAAACGGAGCUAGAGCAAAGCAACUUUAUAAGAGGCAACUGUCAGCCUACAGUCAGCUCUCUAUGUCUAUACUACCGGGGAAGCUGCUACUCAUGUGAUGAGAAAACGCCACAACUUCUUCGCUGACGAAGUUCUCUCUUCUUCCUCUUCUUCAUCUUCUUCCUNNNNNNNNNNNNNNNNNNNNNNNNNNNNNNNNNNNNNNNNNNNNNNNNNNNNNNNNNNNNNNNNNNNNNNNNNNNNNNNNNNNNNNNNNNNNNNNNNNNNAUGAAGUUGUGAAGAAACUGUUGGGUAACGUAGCAUAAAUUCAAAAAAUUUCCUACGCAUGUUCAGAUCUUCCUAUGGAGAGACCAGCAACGAGAGAGAGGUAAGAGCAUCUUCAUACCUUUGAAGAUCGCUAAGCGGAAGCGUUUGCUAGAACGCGGUUGAUGAAGUCGUACUCGCGGUGAUUCCGAUCUAGUGCCGAACAACGGCACCUCCGCGUUCAACACACGUGCAGCCCGGUGACGUCUCCCGCACCUUGAUCCAGCAAGGAGGAGGGAGAGGUUGGGGAAGAAGACCAGCAACACGACGGCAUGGUGUUGGUGGAGAGACGAGGUCUCCUGGCAGGGCUUCGCCAAGCGCCGGCAGAGAGGAGGAGGGAGAAGUGCAGGGCUGCGCCGAGGGAGAGGGAAAACUGUGUCCUCCAAAGGCCAAAAGUGCCCACUAUAUAUAGGGGAAGGGGAGAGGGGGUGCCACCCCUAGGGUUCCCACCCUAGGGGUGCGGCAGCCCUCCCAGAUGGGGUUUGUGGCGGCCAGAUGGGGAGGAGGGGGUGGCGCACCCCUCUGGUGGGCCUAAGGCCCACCUAAGUUAGGGUUCCCCCCUCUUUUUCUUUCCCCUGCGCCAUGGGCUGAGUGGGGAGGCGUACCAGCCCAACUAGGGGCUGGUUCCCACCCCCACUUAGCCCAUCUUACCUCUUGGGGUCGCCAGCCCCCCYUYGGUGGUCCCCCCGGGACCACCUCCGGUGGUCCCGGUGGUCCCGGUACGUUACCGGUGAUGCCCGAAACACUUCCGGUGUCCGAAACCAUCCGUCCUAUAUAUCAAUCUUUACCUCCGGACCAUUCCGGAGCUCCUCGUGACGUCCUAGAUCUCAUCCGGGNNNNNNNNNNNNNNNNNNNNNNNNNNNNNNNNNNNNNNNNNNNNNNNNNNNNNNNNNNNNNNNNNNNNNNNNNNNNNNNNNNNNNNNNNNNNNNNNNNNNAAAAUGUUACUACAUUGUUGGUUGUUAACGAGAUGGUUCCGCCAACCAGUUCUCGUACCCGAGUUGUCAAUAAUUCCCACAUCAAUAUUAUUAUUUGUGUUGAGAAUUUCAGAUAACUUCAGUUCCUUUGGCUCAAGUUGUCCAUGACCGUGGACACGGCUAAUCGAUUAGGUUUGAGUACUCUGCAGAGUUUUGCACACGUUCCCCACAAGAUUUGAUCGCCUCCGAGUAUGUCCUCGCACUUCAGGGUGUUUGAAGACCGGAUGAUCAAAACAUGGUCUUUCAACGGGUCCCUCUGAAUCCCUGUCGGUGCCCAUCCAUUCCUACCGUUCGUCUACAUCUGCUAGCACCGCCUGUCCAGAGUCGCCRCGUUGUCCAACCAAGCCAGAGCCCAUAAUGACUUGUGGCUGUGCAGGUAAGCCUUGGGUCUUGAAAAUAUCCGUCCGUCUCUUUGAGCCUGGGUGAAGCUUUCCGCAGGAUGUCAUGGGCCGUCUCCAGCAUCCCGGGUCAUCCACUGGGUUCUCCAGGGAGCCGAUCAACCGUCCUUCACCCAGAGUUGCAUUGCGUCCGAGGUCUUGAAAAUCUUGUCUUAACCGGUCUUGAUUAUUUAAUCAACCUCGCAUCACUCGUGAUAAACUCUCAACCAGAAUCCCGUCUACUCAAGCAUAGCAAUAUGAAAUUUGUCGUCCCGGGCCUAGUAACGGGGUUGUUGGGUGCCUACCACAUGAUACUACAAUAUGUAACCAUAAUUUCCAAGUACCUANNNNNNNNNNNNNNNNNNNNNNNNNNNNNNNNNNNNNNNNNNNNNNNNNNNNNNNNNNNNNNNNNNNNNNNNNNNNNNNNNNNNNNNNNNNNNNNNNNNNCAACAUCUUCAUCAGCACCAUCUCAUCUYCAAACYCUAGUUCAUCUCUYGUAACCAAUCUCCGUCUCGCGACUCCGAUUGGUACCUGUAAGGUUGCUAGUAGUGUUAAUUACUCUUUGUAGUUGAUGCUAGUUGGAUUACUCGGUGGAAGAUUAUAUGUUCAGACCCUUGAUGCUAUUCAAUACCUCUCUGGUCAUGAAUAUUAUUAUGUUUUGUGAGUAGUUACUUUUUUUCAAGAGGACAUGGGAUAAGUCAUGCUAUUAGUAGUCAURUGAAUUUGGUAUUCGUUCGAUAUUUUGAUGCGUUGUAUGUUGUUUUUCCUCUAGUGGUGUUAUGUGAACGCCGACUACAUAACACUUCACCAUUAUUUGGGCCUAGAGGAAGGCAUUGGGAAGUAGUAAGUAGAUGAUGGGUUGCUAGAGUGACAAAAGCUUAAACCCUAGUUUAUGCGUUGCUUCGUAAGAGGCUGAUUUGGGUCCACUAGUUUAAUGCGAUGGUUAGACUUUGUCAUAAUUCUUCUUUCGUAGUUGCGGAUGCUUGGGAGAUGGGUUAAUCAUAAGUGGGAUGCUUGUCCAAGUAAGGGCAGUACCCAAGCGCCGGUCCACCCACAUAUCAAACUAUCAAAGUAGCAAUCGCGAAUCAUAUGAACAUGAUGAAAACUAGCUUGACAGAAAUUCCCAUNNNNNNNNNNNNNNNNNNNNNNNNNNNNNNNNNNNNNNNNNNNNNNNNNNNNNNNNNNNNNNNNNNNNNNNNNNNNNNNNNNNNNNNNNNNNNNNNNNNNCUUUUUCUCAAAAAAAAACCCCACAAAGCCCCUAACCCGAUCUCCCCUGUCGGCUUAUCCUGUUGACAUUGGUCAAAUUCCAUCUCGGUACUUCGUGUUUCAGAUUUUGUACUAUCUCUCAGUGUUACACUUUAUAUUGCAAUAUGCUAUUCGUUGAAGUUUUCCGAGAGGGUUAUCAAUCUUACACUUUAUAUUGCAUAUGCUAUUCGCCGAAGCCAUGGUUUGUGUAUACCAACUCUCUUGGUAACAAUAUGAUAUUUUCCCCAUGUGUCUGCAAUGUUCUCCAUUAAAAAUUAGUUUUACCACUUACAUUAUUUCAUAUAAAAGUGGGGGCUGGGGUUGAGUUGAAUAAUUUCCCUACUUUAGAAAAUAUGGCAAAUUGCAUUUCAUUAGAGAUGGCUUUGUAAUAAAUCGCAUGAGCAAGCGAUCCAUAUUGUUUCAUCAAGUCAUACAAUUUUUUUGUUAAGAUGGAAGGGUAAAUGCAUUGGCUGGUUGCUUCAAGAGUUAAUGACGAGCAUGACAGCGUAUCAGUUGCAUAUCUAACAAUAGACAACAUAUUUCUAUUUCUUGGUAGUGCACGANNNNNNNNNNNNNNNNNNNNNNNNNNNNNNNNNNNNNNNNNNNNNNNNNNNNNNNNNNNNNNNNNNNNNNNNNNNNNNNNNNNNNNNNNNNNNNNNNNNNCUUCGUGACCAUGUCCUCAAGCGCAAUAGCAUCAUUGACCAUGUGAAGACUGAUGAUCAACUAGCUGAUAUCUUCACAAAUCCCUUGGAUGAGAGAAGGUUUUGCAAGUUGCGGUGUGUGCUAAAUAUCCUAGAGUCUUCAAAUGUUUUGUGAAAACAUGUACAACAUCGUAACACUUAUGCAAAAUUGAUGACUUAGAUGCGCAACACAUGAAGAAUCGAUUUUCUUCAAUCAAUGAAGAAUAUCACUCUUAUUGUGAAGAAAUUAAUGAAGAAUUUGGUUCUCAGGGCCCUACGACAAUUGUAUGCGGCGCCUGAAAUUGUCAUUCUUAUACGAUGGAUCACGCCACCACCCAACUUUGAAAUCCUUCUAGGUGGUUUUUCUUCAAAUUUGAAAUUCAUCAAUAUGACACUUUGUCACAAAUUCCUCAAAUUUUCAAAAUCUUCGAAUUCUUCAAAAUGUUUGAUGAUAUAUAUAUAUAUAUNNNNNNNNNNNNNNNNNNNNNNNNNNNNNNNNNNNNNNNNNNNNNNNNNNNNNNNNNNNNNNNNNNNNNNNNNNNNNNNNNNNNNNNNNNNNNNNNNNNNNNNNNNNNNNNNNNNNNNNNNNNNNNNNNNNNNNNNNNNNNNNNNNNNNNNNNNNNNNNNNNNNNNNNNNNNNNNNNNNNNNNNNNNNNNNNNNNNNNNNNNNNNNNNNNNNNNNNNNNNNNAUAUAUAUAUAUAUAUUGCGCUUUCAAAGUCCUCAACAACAUUCACUUAUAGCCCAGNNNNNNNNNNNNNNNNNNNNNNNNNNNNNNNNNNNNNNNNNNNNNNNNNNNNNNNNNNNNNNNNNNNNNNNNNNNNNNNNNNNNNNNNNNNNNNNNNNNNGGGUGGCACACUAGCCCUUAGUGGGCUAGUGGGACAGCCCAAAAGGGCUCUAUGCGCCAAGAAGAGAAAAUCAAGUGAGAAAAGAAAAAAAAGGAGGAGGUGGGAAGGAAGGGGGACUCCCUCCCACCAAACCAAGUCCAACUCGGUUUGGGGGGGGGGAGUCCUGCCCCCUUGGACUCGGCCGACCCCCUUGGGGCUCCUUGAGCCCCAAGCAAGGUCCCCUCCCUCCCACCUAUAUAUACGGAGGCUUUAGGGCUGAUUUGAGAUGACUUUUCCACGACAGCCCGACCACAUACCUCCACGGUUUUUCCUCUAGAUCGCGUUUCUGCGGAGCUCGGGCGGAGCCCUGCUGAGACAAGGUCAUCACCAACCUCCGGAGCGCCGUCACGCUGCCGGAGAACUCGUCUACCUCUCCGUCUCUCUUGCUGGAUCAACAAGGCCGAGAUCAUCGUCGAGCUGUACGUGUGCUGAACGCGGAGGUGCCGUCCGUUCGGUACUAGAUCGUGGGACUGAUCGCGGGAUUGUUCGCGGGGCGGAUCGAGGGACGUGAGGACGUUUCACUACAUCAACCGCGUUCACUAAUGCUUCUGCUGUACGAUCUACAAGGGUACGUAGAUCACUCAUCACCUCUCGUAGAUGGACAUCACCAUGAUAGGUCUUCGUGCGCGUAGGAAAUUUUUUGUUUCCCAUGCGACGUUCCCCAACAGACGAUAUAUGAUGAAGUGAUUGAGCCUGGAAAAGCUGGUAUGAACUCGAUCUAUUUUGUUUUUGUAAAUAUGACUAGCUCAUCAUGCCUGAUUCAGCUUUGUUGUGAAAGAAACAUGUUUGCAAUGACAACUUAGAGAUCAUCGUUGCUUAUGCCAUGCUUAUUUAGCUAGGAGCUUAUAAUCGUUUGUCUUGGUUGCCACAUGAAUGUUGAGAUGACUAUGAUGUAGUAUGAUAGGAUGGUAUCCUCCUAUGAAUGUUUCAAGUGGCUUGACUUGGCGCAUUUUCACGCAUGUAGUUGAAACAAAAUCAACAUAGCCUCUAUGAUGUUCAUGUUCAUGGUGAUUUAUGUCCUACUCAUGCUUGCACUCAAUGUUAGUUACUCUCAAUGCAUUUUGAUGACUGUUGUCGCUCUCUAGUUGGUCGCUUCCCAGUCUUUUGCUAGCCUUCACUUGUACUAAGUGGGAAUACUGCUUGUGCAUCCACCUCCAUAAACACAAAGUUGUUCCAUAUGAGUCCACCAUACCUACCUACGUGCGGUAUCUACCUGCCGUUCCAAGUAAAUUUGCAUGUGCCACUCUCUAAAUCUUCAAGAAAUAAUCUGUUUUGCAUGCCCGAACCGCUCAUGUGGUGACAUGGGGCUAUUAGUAUCUUCCAUGCUAGGCGUGUUAUCCUCGAUAUGUGUUUAUUCACUAUCAUUCAUGAGAAAGGGGCUCGUAAUUGGAAUUCCCAGUUCCAUGCUCAAAUCGAAAAGAUAAUUGCAAACAAAACUCCCCCAGGAUUGUUGUUGGUUUGGACGGUACCCGAGGAUUCGGCUAGCCAUGGAGUGUGAUUGAUUCGUGGUGGGGGAGUCAAAACUUUACUUUUCUGUUUGGGAACUGCCUAUAGCAUGUGUAGCGUGGAAGCUGUUGAGAACUCUUAGUCAUUGCGUUGACAAUGAAAGCAUGCCACCCAAAAUUAUUAUCUCUCUUUUCAAAGCUUGAGCUCUGGCACCUCUGCAAAUCAAUGCUUCCCUCUGCGAAGGGCCUGUCUAUUUAUGUUCCUGUUGAGUCAUCCUCCUCUUACAAAAGCACCAAUUAGAGAGCACCUCUGUCAUUUUUAUGCUUUGCUUUUAACUGUGUUGAGUAUGACUAUGACUGGAUCUUCAUUGCCAUGAAUUACAAUGUUUAGUCAGCCCUUGGUAUUUUAAGGUGCUCUCCAUUUAUGUUUUGCGGUCUCAGAAAGAGCUAGCGAGAUACCAUCUAUUCGUACUGCUUCAUGUUGUUUUGAUUGAAGUGUUGACACUUGAGGCUUAUUAUUAUUUGCUCGCUAGUUGAUUAUGCCAUUGAUAUGAGUUGACCGUGAGACCUAGAUGUCAUUUGCUUAUGUGGUUUGCUUGUGUUGUUGCUGAAAUUCUGGUUAUGAUUUAGAUAUAGUUGCUUUUGUCUCUCUCAGUUUGUCAAUUGAGUUGCUUGAGGACAAGCAAGGCUUUAAGCUUGGGGGAGUUGAUACGUCUCCAUCGUAUCUACUUUUUCGAACUCUUUUGCCCUUGUUUUGGAAUCUAAUUUGCAUGAUUUGAAUGGAACUAAUCCGGACUGACGCUGUUUUCAGCAGAAUUGCCAUGGUGUUGUUUUUGUGCAGAAAUGAAAGUUCUCAGAACGUCAUGAAAAUUUAUGGAGAUUUUUUCUAGAAUAAAAGAAAAAUACAUGCGCAAAGAUCCACGUGAGGGGGCGUGCUAGUGGGCCACAAGCCCCUGGGCCGUGACCACCCCCUAUGGCCGCCCCAUGAGGGCUUGUGGGGCCCACGUGGUACCACCGGCCCCAAUCUCAGCUCUAUAUUUUCCGUUUCGCUUGGAAAAAAUCAGAGAGAAGGUUUCAUCGCGUUUUGCGAUAUGGAGGCGCCGCCACAUCCUGUUCUUCAUCUGGAGGGCAGAUCUGGAGUCCGUUUCGGGCUCCGGAGAGGGGAAAUAGUCGCCAUCGUCAUCAUCAACCUUCCUCCAUCGACAAUUCCAUGAUGCUCUUCAUCGUUCGUGAGUAAUCUCAUCGUAGGCUUGCUGGACGGUGAUGAGUUGGAUGAGAUCUAUCAUGUAAUCGAGUUAGUUCUUGACAGGGAUUGAUCCCUAGUAUCCACUAUGUUCUAGAUUUAUGUUGCUACUACUUGGCUAUGCUUAAUGCUUGUCACUAGGGCCCGAGUGCCAUGAUUUCAGAUCUGAACCUAUUAUGUUGUCGCCAAUAUAUGUGUGUUUUAGAUCCUAUCUUGCAAGUUGUAGUCAACUACUAUGUGUUAUGACCCGGCAACCCCGGACUGACAAUAGCCGGAACCACUCCCGGAGAUGACCAUAGUAUGAGGAGUUCAUGUAUUCACCGCGUGUUAAUGCGUUGGUCCAGUUCUUUAUUAAAAGGAGAACCUUAAGAUCCCGUAGUUUGCAUUAGGACCCCGCUGCCACGGGAGGGAUGGACAAUAGAUGUCAUGCACGUUCUUUUCCCUAAGCACGUAUGACUAUAUACGGAAUACAUCUCUACAUUAGAUUGAUGAACAGGAGCUAGCCACAUAUCUCUCCGUGUUAUAGCUAUUACAUGAUGAAUCACAUCUGUCAUACUCAUCCAUCACCGAUCCACUGCCUACGAGUCUUUUACUACUGGUCCUCGCUACGUUACUUUGCAUAGGCUUGUCCCUUGCUACAAGAGGGAUUGGGCCACUUUGCUGCUGUCACUUUGCUGCUACUGUUGCUACUGCUGUUACUUGUUACUUUGCUGUUGCUGCUACUACUGUUCUUGCUCCCUGUUGUUACUUGUUGCAAGACUUUGCUGGCACCGUUGCCGAUGCUAGGUAAGCGGUACUGACAAUCCCGUCAACCAAGGCUUUUUCUGGCACCGUUGCUAUCAUACUACCUUGCUACUGAUACUUUGCUUGCAGACACUAAUCUUUCAGGUGUGGUUGAAUUGACAAUUCAACUNNNNNNNNNNNNNNNNNNNNNNNNNNNNNNNNNNNNNNNNNNNNNNNNNNNNNNNNNNNNNNNNNNNNNNNNNNNNNNNNNNNNNNNNNNNNNNNNNNNNUUCUCUUUUGGCUUCUUUCUCAGUCGCUUUCGUUUUCUUCACGUAUUAUGCAGACGGAGUCACUUUUUUCACCUUUGAGGGUUUCGGUGAAGGGACAAUUUCAUCAGGCAGUGGUUCAGUGUCAGGCCUGGCAGUUUCUUUAGCUGGAGCAGUUUCUUCAGCUCGCAUAUUUUGAGGAAUUUCCUCAGUAGAUGGUUCAUCAGUUUCAUCUUCCUCAGGCUAGACUGAGGUGGUGUUUGCUGAUUUGGAGAGGCAGUUCUCAUGUUGUAUUCAUCAACGACCACUGUUGCAGCCUUGAUGAAUUUUACUUUCACGCCAUGACGAUCAGAGUGAAGACUUGUAUACUUGUCCGUCAGGGUUUUGAGUUCACCCUGAGUUGAUACAAGUCCUUCAGGCGUCAGGUUGAGGAGAUUCUGCUUGAGGAAUUUCUCCUUCUUGAUUUUUGCAGCCCUAGCUUGCUUGGCUUGCUGCGCUUUCCACUUUGCUUCAUUGAUGGAAGUAGCCACCAUAUGGCUCGCACCAGGGGAAGAUUUAAGUCAUCAACCGGUGUAUUUGGAUCUUCAUACCAGAGGUUGAUGAAAUCCAGCAAUACCUUCGGAUCCAUAGCUAGAGGGAUGAAACUGCCGGAGGCUUGUGCAACACGUUCCUGUUUGUUUAUGAUGAUUGCUUGAAGUGUUCCAUCAUCAAAUUCUUCACUUCCUUCUGAUGCAGAAGGGGCGUUGAUGACUUUGCUAGGAUUUGGCCUAAUGCCUCUACCAUCAGUCAUUUUAGUUUUCAAAAUAGUGGGUGAAGACUUUGUAGCAGAGCUAGUGGCAGAUGCCACUGAGGAACUUGAUUUUGCAGGUUGAAACUUACUGAGUUGCUUCUGUUGUGGGGGUGAAUACUGUGGUGUUGUUGAAGAUUUUGCAACCGUUGCAGCCUUCGGAGGCAAUUGCUCUUUGGGCUAUGUAGUUGAAGCUUUGGGUUUCUUUGGCAAAGACAUCUUCUGAGGAAUUGUUGUAGCAGAGGCCUCAGCAGCUGAAGAUGUGGCAGCAGUGGCUGCAGCAGCAGAAUCCUCAUUGAAUUUGUUCACGGAUGCUUAUGCCUUCUUCUAUAACUUAGACAGAUAUUUGUCUUUCUCGUCUUGGUAAUCCUCAAUAGUUUCUACACUUGAGGGAUGAGCGACUUGUUGAUCACCCUGUGGAGGCCUUUUGCAACGUGGCUUGAGGGUCAAUUUUUUCGCAUAUUUUGGAAUCACAUAUCUGUACUCCUUCCACUCCU